rnacentral:lncRNA from 1 species
UUUUUUUUUUUUUUUUGAUGCCGUCGCCGUUUUUUGGUGGGUAUCGCAACUUGCAAGCAGCAGUUUGAAUCAUGCGAUCGUGCGUUUUUGUUGUGUAUAGCAAGCCGGGCCGGUUCCCGGUUUUGGGCCGGUUCCAAUAGCCGGUUCUUUCCGGGUCCCGGUUCCAAAAAAUCACAAAUUUGUAGUAUAGGUCCCGGCCCGACCGGUUCCAUCGGGUGCCGGUUCCGGGACCGGUUCCCCGGUCCUUUUGCUCAUCCCUACUUAGAUGCGUAUAAAAAAAAUAAUUACUCAUAUAUGAAUAUACCAAAAAAUUAAUUACCUUAAUUAUUUUGCCUCUAAAACUAAAAAGAAGUUUCCCAAGAAUUAAUAAUUUUUUUUCACAUCGCCGACACGCUUUUUGUGUGAUUGGACCAAAGGCUUCUCAAUAAAAUUAUCUCAAACUAUCCCCUUUCAUCUGUUCUAUAAUCUAUUAUUCAUCCUCCAUACAAAUUUUCUCCACAGAGUCUCCCGAUUCGAAUAUUCAAAAACAACAAGUCAACAACGAUGGGUGAUUUUGAUAAGCGGUUGAAGGAGAGAGCUAAGGAUCUCAAGAAGUUUUUCAGUAAGGGAUCGAAGAUCAUUAACUCCUGCAAAAAGGGCUGGCUCAAAAUCAAGCACCUUCGCAAAUGAUUUCUCUCUUCUGUUCCUCGGUACUCUGAUUAUGAAUAUGAUUGCUGUGUUUUUAACUUUUUAUUCUCGAGUUUAUAUUUGAUUGAUUUGCUCUCGAUGUAUCCUUAGUUCUGGAAGAUUUUGAAUGUUGUAGUUUGGGAUUUUAUUGGUCAAGCACGCUAGCUAGCAAAUUAAAUAUCAUCUCCAACUUCUUCUCUUGUGUUCAUUGGUUCUUCAUUGUUCAUGUUUAUGAUUUGAUCUAUAAUUUCUGAGUAAUUUGAUGUUGGAACUUAGUAAAUUUGAAUUUUAGAGUUUUAUUGGAGGCCUGCGAUCAUUCACACUCGGAAACCAUUUCGUCUUUCGGUUGUGGUUUUUGUGAUUUUGUUUCAGUUUAUAUUUUUGUCUAUCCUUCGUCAUGUAUUCAGCCAUUCGGGUUUUACCUGUUCGUUAAACAAAUUAAUUUUGGAUUAUGAUCAUAUAAAGGAUACGUAACACGAAUUCGAAUUUAUGAUCGAGAACUUCAAAUUGGGAUUAUGACCAACUCAUGAUAGAAAUAAAAUAAGUAAAAGUUAUUAUGAUAAAAAAUGGCCAUUAAAAAUAUGAAAUUAUCAUUUUAUAAUCAGCUUUAAAAUGAUCAUCUUGUCCAAAAUGAUGCAUUACGCAUUUAUUAUGUUUUGAUCAUAAUACCCUUUUAAAUUUGCAAGAGUACUUUGUAUAUAGAUACCCCCAAACCUUUUGCUGGAUCAUUUCUUCAAAACAUGGGUAGGGUCCCAAAGUUCUUCACUGAAAAUAAUUACGGUUUGAUUCUUUCAAUUGAAUGCUGAAUUCUUAGUUGACUAAUAGCUAAUAAGUUUGAUUUACCAAAUAUAUUUAAAUUGAAAAUUGUUUCUUUAUGAGAAACAAUUCAGCCUGUUGUUUUUGUUUUCUAUCGUUUAAUCGCUAAUUUGUCACUGCAUUAGUGCAUUUGAUUAUUAUAAUACUUUUGAGAGAAAUAUUGAUAUUAACAAGUUGGAGAAAUGCAUUUCUAUUUCCAUUUUAAGCAUGUUCUUGUAACCAAAGCCAUAAGCGAUAUAUUAAUACUUUAAUAGAGCCUAUGCAAAUCAAGAAAACAAUUAAAGAAAAUUCAAUAAGACAAUAAGUGAAUAAGACAAUAAGUGACUGGAGUUUGCUACAGACAAACUACUGAUAAAGUGAAGAGUCCAGGGGCUCUUUGUUUUUUUAAGAAAAAAACACUUUUGAUGCUUUUGGUUGCGCUGCAUAUCAUUUGUUCGUUGUUUAUUUUUAAAAAAUUUAUGACUUAAAAACUGUUAUGCUAAAAAAUUUCUGAGUUAAAAUCUGUUGUGCUAAUGCUAAUGCUAAUGUGACACAACAUUGGACCCUAAUCUUCAAACUACUUCUCAAUCUUACUUUAAGUUAUAUUAUUGGGAUAAUAAUUUGAAAGAGUGCGGACUUUUAAUUUUGUUCACAUUUAGUCACUAAGUUUUUUAAAAUUUUUGAUUUACCUCUGGGUUAUAAGGAUAAAAUGUGAAUAACUUCAAAUAAUUCAGAGUAAAUCAAACGUAGAAAGUUCAAUGACUAAAUAUAAAAGUUUAUUAACCUUUCAAGUCAUUAUCCCAUAAAUAAGUUCUUUUAUCUUGGUAAACCACAAUGUUAUGUUCUCUAUUUGAAGACUUCUUAAUAAAUUUCAUUAUAUUAUUUUAUAUGGGUGUAUGGUUUAACUUUUAAGAUUUAAAAAAUAUAUUUGCUUUCACGACAAGAUUUAAAGGCAUAACGAACGACAUAUGUCGUCGUUGAAGGUAUCAAGAGUAGCCGUAAUUACCUUUAAUGAUAACAUGCCGCAGUUAAUAUGUCAUUGAUAAUGCUUCAUUGGAACUUUCACGUACUUGUAUCUCUUGAUAUAGCUUGAAAUUGAUAUUUUGUAUAUAAUGCGCACAAGUAGUGUUGCGUUCACAACACUUCGUUGUAAAUAGCAUAACAGUUUGUAAUAUAUAUAAAAUACAAGAAUUAUUGUAAUAUGUAGUUGGAUAAAGGAUGUCACAUUAUAACAUAUAAAAUUGUAUUGUAAUAAUAAAUAGAAACAUAAAACAUGGAAUGAAUAAAGAAACUCUAGGUAAAAGUUUAUCUCAUGGACUAGGAUUAAAGCCAUGAACUAUAACAUGAUUAUGUGGUACAUAUUUUGUUUUGUAAUACUUCUUACAAACACAAACGUAGUUACUGAAAUCAAAAUUAUUAAUCUAAAUAAUUGCUACCAAUAGGAAAAAUAAACUACAGGAUGAUUACAAAAAUAGAUAUUCACUUAAAAAGGUAACAAACUUUGAACUUUAGAUAUUGACUUCCCACACAUAGCGAGUUCCUUAGUAUCCUCGUGACUUCCUUGACUUGAGUACGGAUCAUGUGAUUCUAGUAGUACAGGUUCAAUACUAUCUUCCACACCUAUCCGUACUUUUCUCAAAAGUCGUCCCGAUUCCCCUAAGUAACUCCCUAAAUUCCAACAUUCCACAAUCUCACUAAACCACACAUUUGCUAAUGCUAACAUGCUUCCUAGGUUAUCCUAGGAUUCCCUUCCCACCACUCUCCGCCAUCAGCUGCAGAAGAACCCCCACUAAUACCCGUUAGCUACCUUACGAAUAUAAUUACAUGCAACAAACACUAGAUAAUUCUUCGAUUGCAAGGUCCCACACUACAAUGGUUGGACUAAAACAAGAGUUGUGCAAUAGAGUUAAACCUAACCUUAUAAAAUUAUCUAAUUUCUGCAACAUGUAACCUAGCAUAUUCACUUAUAGUUAACUAGUAUUAGUAGUGACUCCUAAAAAUACAAAGCAAGCAACAUUCGAGGAUUGAGUUCUAACCAGAGCACUGCCUAACAGGACAUCUUAACAUGUCAUUACCAAUCCAUACUAGCAUGCAGUUAUAGAGGCUCAUACAAUAAGCAUACAGAGGGAUCUCUCCUAUCACACAAUUCCGAGCAGAUCCUUAGCCCUAAUCUAGCAUGCUAUUCAUAUAUUCACAUAUUGAAUCAAAAAACAUAUAUGGGUAUUUUGGAAACACUUACUUGAGCUUGGCCGAUUGCAUGAAUCACACCCAUUCUUUCUAGUAGUAAUUUUUUUAGAAAAUCAUUUCUUUUAUGAAAAACUUACCAAAUCCUCAGUGUGAGUUCAAACACACCCGAGAGUGUGUCCGAAUCCCUCAUACCAACUUGUAACAUCCCAAAAAUAAUAAGUAAAAUUUUCGUUUUUAUGUCAACCAAAAUAGUCAAUAUUCAUAUAAAACCAUCAAAAGUAUGUUAGUAUGAAAAUACUUAUCAUAGUGUAAUCCCAAAAUCAUAAAAAUGCUAGACACGGGUGGAUACACUGCGAUCAGGCCGAGCUCUUCCCUAUCGAACCGGAAGUACCUGAACAUAAAAUUAAACCGUAAGCACAAAGCUUAAUGAGUUCCCCAAAAUACCAUAUACCAUACAAUUAAUGGGCCUCACCCAAUGAGUAUAAUGGGCCUCGCCCUAACUCGUAUAACGGGCCCCGCCCAAUGAGUAUAACAAGCCUUACCCUAACUCGCACAACGACCCUGUCCUAACAUAUAAAACAUGCAAGUAUCACACAUACAACUAGCAUCCUACAAACAUAAUCUAGUGGGCCGACAUUGGUGCCUUCAACACAUGAGUAUAGUGAAAAGACUCACCUCAGUCUGAUGAUAUACAGCCACACACACAAGGUGAUGCUACAAUGGCUCGUCGCACUGAAUACAUUCAAACCAACCCUAACCACUAUUUAGGGUAAUAACCCACAUUUAAAGGCACAGAUCAUAAUCCUUCUUACAAAGGGUAAAAUAACCUUUUACCCUUCCUACUCUGGGCCCAAAUAACCAUGACCCAAGGCCAAAACUGGCCCAAGGCCCAAAGGGUUUCAGGUGAGUACGUUGUGCGUACACCCUAUGUACGUACAUCUUCUUCACCAAAUGGAAACAUGGCUAAACCCGUUACACCGAGCGUACCAGAAGGGUACGACCAACGUACUUGUCAGAAGUCCAAAAAUUGCUAUUAAGCUCUUAAUGCUUAAAGAGCUUUCAUCCAACUCAAAUAUCUCAACCUAAGGGACAUAUUUAUUGAUAAAGUCGACAACUUGAUGCCUUUUCAUGGCUUAAUAAGGCACAAAUCCAAACCCUAAGUCCAAAGUACACUCUAAUGACCAAAAUCACAUGCAUGGAUGAAUGGGAGUGUCCAAGCUCCCAUUUUUAUGACUUCACUAAGUCAAAGAUGACAAGAAAUGACACGCAUUACGUUUAGAGUAACCUAUUCCUCAAAAGUCCAAAUCUUGGGACCAAAAGCAUAACAUAACAUGGACCAAUUCUAGAUCUAGAAAAAAAACAUAAAGGUAUAAGUGAUGGGUUUCGAGCAAUACAUCAAUCCUAUGGUGUACAUGCAAACCCUAAUAGCUUUUAGAUCUAGUUUGUCUAAUGAACAUGCAAUUGAAUAUCCAAGGCUAUAAACCCUAGAUCUAGCAUAUAAUUAAUCAUAUUAACAUAAAAUAGGGUUUAGAUCUGACCUUUGAUUGUUAUAUAGCAAUAACAAUCAAUUCUUAGCUUCAGAAAGCUUAGUGCCUCAAGUGUUGCACCUCUAAUGAAAUCAAAAACACCACUAAGCAACAAGAAUGAAGAGGAAAGAGAGGGGAGGCACCAAAAAUGGCUGGAAACCCUAAUCCAAGUGUUAGCACCGUUUUUGGUGCAUAGAGGGCCUUUAUAUACAUGUAGGCUAUUAGGGUUUACAACUAGGAAACCCUAAUCUGGCUGCUUAAUCCCUAAGCAGCCCAUGGACUCCUUUAACAUAUCCCUUGGACGAAUUCUUAAUGGGCUUCCCAUAGAAUUCUUCCAACCUAUAUUAUUUAGGUAAUCCAUAGCCCAAUUGCAAUUAUCUUAUAAUUACAAAUCCAGUCCCCUAAGUUUAAUUAAUCUCUUUUAGCCACACAAUUAAUUAUCAAUUAAUUCUUGACUAAUAUUAAUUAAACAAUAUGAUUUCUCCUUUAAUAUAUUAUUAUUAUAAUAUAUUAAUAAAUCACAAUUAAACCUUUCCCUCCUUAAUUCAGCCUACAUAUUGCUAUGGUGAAGGCAACCCAAAAGGACCAUGCUCAUAAUCGGGUCAAGUACAUACCAAAAUAGUUAUGGACUUAGACACUAAUCCAACAGUCUCCCAUUUGGAUAAGUCUAAUAACUAUUUUCCGUAUGAGUUCAGACCCUGAUCAGCAAUCAUAGCUUUCAAAAGCCGUUGUCAACUCUGAUCUUAUCAGAUACGCGUGUCCUUUAGAUAAGGGAUCAUAUAUUCCUCCAUUCUCAAGAUAUCGUAUAGACACAAGACAUGAAUUCCGAUCAUUCUCUCUAUACUGUUUACCGACUUCAGAUUUAUGACGACUGACAACAGACUACAAUUGAACACAUCAACUUAGUCCCGACUUGGCCAAGCGCUUAGGUGUCAUCACUAAAUCAUCGAAGGGCCCAUAGAUAUCGCUUUUAUCCCACUUUGGGCAAAAGGAAUGGAUCAACUUCGACUCAAAUGCUUGCUUGCAAUUACUAAUCGAAUCACACACAAUAAUAAGUUUUAUAACACCAAGUUACUGGUGCGUUUACUUAUUAUAAAUGUGCAACCGACCAACAAAAAACAACUCAUACAUCUCGGUUACAAGAAUAUACAAUAUUAUUGACUCACAAUCACUUGUGAUAAAAUCCAUAAAGUGAUUCUCGUGAGCGUGGGUUUAAUCCAAUACUGUAAUCUUAUCAAAGCACUCAUGAACUCUGCAGCAAACUUGUGCUAUGUCUAAACACUCUAGACAAUCUACAGACUCUUCAUGACAGUCUUGCUUCAUACCUACUUCCAAAGUAUGACCGACUGUGGAGGUUUGAAUAACCAAGUUAUUCUGGAAGUCAAAACAUGCAAAAUUUAAACACAAUAAUAAUACUUAAUCCUAUAUGGCCCCAAACUUGUGAGAGUAAAUAAAACACUUCUAUUUAACCACCAUAUUGAUUACUCAUUAUUUAUCCUUUACUGUUUCAGAAAAUCAACUUAUUACUCAAAUUACAACAAUAGCUAUCCCAUGCACAAAGCAUGCACACUAUGUUUCCUAUGGUCCUUACUUUGUAAAAUAGAGAAAUUGAAAAACUUUUCCAAUGAUGCUCAUUUCACAAUUCCCAAUCCUUAUCAUUAGUGUUAGAACACAGGUUCUUGCCACUACUAGAAUAUGAUAAAUUCUAACAUUUUAUGCAACGAUCCUUUCGCAAAAUCAUAGCACAAAAGUCACCAAGACCUAGCCAAUGAAAUUACAAAGUACUCUAUCGGAAAUUGUUACAAGACAAUUCCAUAGACGUGAAGUCUCACAUUCAAAGAAAAUUCCUUUGAACAUCCUUCUUGCAUAAAGUUUUCUAAUCUAGACAUAGACUCUCAAUUUCCAACUCCCAAUAUGGAAACAUUUCCAUAUUUCCAUAUGACAACUCAUUCUUAAUAGAAUCUUAUCUAUUCAUAAUAAUGUCGAUAUGGUCCAUCCAAUACCAUACUUCCAAUUACUCACAAGCGACCAAUCCUCAGCGAACUUUGGAUCAUCCUUUGAUAGUUGUUUAAUUAUUUUAGUCAAAACCGAUUCUAGUUCUUUUUCCCUCUUAAUGUGCUAGACAUUUGGAAAAUUUUUGAAUGGUCAAAUAUUAUAGCAUUUGCAAUCGAUCCUAUACCCGAAGCGUAUGGGACACGAUGCAUAAAGUCUUACAUAAAUAUAUGAUACUUUAUCAAUCUUCUGCCAUAAUAUUUUUGUGUCACGUUCUCACAAUUCGAACUAUGAAGAGGGAUUCCGUAAUCAUAAUCGAAAUUUAAGAACACACUAUGUAUCCUUUGACUAAAUUUAUUAAAAUUUCUCAAUCUAAGCUUUAGAUUUUGAAACGAACUAUAAUAUUCUUUCCCUUAAUUAUAGCAAAAACAAAUUUUCAACCAAUGCAACUUUGCAAAUUGAAUCUUGUUUUUUCUAUAAUUAAUAUUGCUAACUUGAAAUACUUGCCAUAAUAAUCAUAAAAACAUAACACUUAUGCUCCCACUGUCAUGAUGAUUAUUAUCAUAUAAGCAUAACACUUAUGCUCCCACUAGCUUUUAUAACAUCCCAGAAUUCAGAAGUAAAGUGGAAGGGCUAAAGGUGUAAAUAAGAAGGUCGACUCGGCGAGUCGAUGGAUGGACUCGGCGAGUCUAGUCGCGUUACGUUUCGCGUGUUAAGUGACCAACUCGGCGAGUCACAUGGGUAGACUCGGCGAGUUGGUGCUGUGUGGAGAAAACCCUAAUCCCAGGGGUUCAGCCCUAUAUAAAGAACAUAAUACCCUCUCCCCAGCCUCUUUACUCUCCCCUAAAGUCCAGAAACCCUAACAUUCGUUUGUGAGAGAAUUAGAGAGCAUUUGGACCUUGAAGGAGCGUUUGUUAAAGAGAUCCUUGAAGAUUAAGAGGCUUGGAGCAAGGGGCUUUGCAAGGUUUUGGCUUAUUCUUCUGUUGGAGUCUUCUCUUGAGGUAAUGAUUCGUUGCUUGAGCUGUUAUCCAUCUAGAUCUAUCAUUUGUGGGAUUUUUGGGAGUAUAUCUAGUGCUAUCUUGAGCUUGGAGGUUGGAUCUGAGGUUGCUACCUCAGAUCUAGUGUAGUGAUGAUCCAAAGGAGCAUAAAGUCCCUGUUGAAGAGUUGUUGAUGAAGCCUUUUAGUCCCAAACCCUAGCCCUAGAGUCUAUUAUGCUUAGAUCUCCUUGGAUUCACGUAAAGUUUGCCACUUUACAUGUUGGAUGGCUUGUAGAAGAGUAGAUCUAUGGAUUUGAGACCCUGCAUGGCUUGAAAAGCCUCUAUAUGGGUUAAGAGCUAGUGGUACUCGGCGAGUCACAUGGGUGUACUCGGCGAGUUGCUUGAAGAUAGGCAGCAACUCGACGAGUUGGAAGAACAACUCGGUGAGUUGGUUGAAGAUAGCCUUGGACUUGGCGAGUCUGUUCUUGGACUCGGCGAGUCUGGUCGUGAGGUCCUAACCUUUCCUGGUUGAGCUGUGAAUCGGUGAGUCAAGGGACGACUCGGUGAGUUGAGCAGGAAGUGACUCAGAGUUCGUGGGACUCGGCGAGUCUUGGGGCGACUCGGCGAGUUGGGUCGCGAUAUGGGAAUUUUCAGAGUUGAGGGACUCGACGAGUCAGCGGGCUGACUCAGCGAGUAGGGUCAGUCAGGAAGUUUGACUUUGACUGAGGACUUUGACUUUGACCAAGAGUUGACCGGUUGACUUCCAGGGUAAUUUGGUAAUUAUUGGUAUUUAUUGAGUUCAGUCUUUUGGUAUUGUCAGUGGUGGAGUUCGUGUUAGAGGUUGGAGCAGCGUGAUCUUAUCUUUUCAGUCAGCAGUUGCGAGGUGAGUUAUCCUCACUAUAUCAACAUGGUCUAAGGCACCAAGGCCGACCCUUUAUCGGAUUGUUAUGUUAUUGCUUUGCUAUGUUUGCAUCCUGGUAGUUAGGAUGGUAUAUGCUAGUAACUGGUUAGGUCGGUAUCCUGGUUAGGGUGAUGUGAUGUUAUGUGAUCUGCUAGAUCGGUUUGAUUGGAUGCGAAUUAUUAUAUGAUUGUAUGUCUAUGUGCAAAUGGUUGAUGUACUGUGGGUUGGGUUGAGGCGGGUCCUGCUUUGUGUUGUAGGCUAACAUACCCAGGGCGGACCGGUUAACCCGAAGGCCCAACGAGUGGUCUGGAUAGGUUGUAGGCCCGCGGGGGCGGACCAGACGUGCCGAGGCUCGGAGAGUGGACCAGGCCGACUGAAGGCCCGGUGCGGGCGGACCAGUCAUACUGUAGACUCAGAGAGUGGACCAGGUAGGUUGAAGGCCCGGUGCGGGCGGACCAACCACACUGCAGACUCGAUGGAUAUGGCUAGACUCGGAGGGUGGACCAGGUGGACUGAAGGCCCGGUAGGGCGGACCAGUCACACAGUAGACCUGAAGUGCAUGGCUGUUCUGUUCGGUUAUGAUAUGUUAUGCGUGGUAUAUGUGGUUGGUAUUUUGGGGGUAUCUCACUAAGCUUUCAGGCUUACAGUUGUGGUUUAAUGUUUUUCAGGUACUUCAGAAGACCGUGGCAAGGCGAAGGCGUGAUCGUACCGCUCCUCAUUUUUAUGUUUUACAAUAUGGUUCUUGGAAGACUCUGAUUAUAAUUGUAUUGAAAACCUUUUUGUAAUGACUUAACGAAACUGGGUUGUUUGUGAAAAGUUUAAAUUGGCUUGAAUUUUUAGAGUGUUACAAGUUGGUAUCAGAGCCUUGGUUUGAGUGAAUUGGAGGAACAUUCGUGUGAAUCCAGUCUCAAAUCAAGGAGAGUUUUCAAAAUGAGUAAAAGAGGACGUGGAGGUACGAUCAGCCGGAGCCAGUAAGUAGCCCCAAAAUACCAUGCAAGUUAUUUGUUUAUGUGAUAUGAUAGAACAGCAUGCUAGUACUAGGCUAGGGAUCUUCAGGAAUUGCAUGAUAGUGUUGCCUGAUUUGUGAUGCCUGCUAGCCUAGGGUUUCUUUCUGUAUGAGAUUUCAAGUGUUCCUCUAGGAGUGGGGGUUGAGUGCUUGGUAUGUCUGUUCUUCACUAGGGUGUUGUGGUGAUACUUGGUAUAAAUAUGGGUAGGUGUGGAAGGUAGUAUGGGCCCAUUCUAUUGAAAGCAUAGGACCCAUACGCAUAUCAAGGAAGUCACAACCCCUAGGGCGGUGUUGAGAGUCGGUUCCUGGGUUAGUGGGAGGUAUCUGAUGUUUGCGGUAUUUUCUUUCAGUAUGGUGGUUACGAGGCAUGCUGGGAGCGGAUCUGGAUCAGGAUCGGGAGCAGGAGAGGGCGGUCAGGGUGUGUCAGAACCACCCGAGGUUAUCGGUCAGAUGAGCACAUACGAGUUGGAUGCUAGGAUUCGUGAGAUCCUGCAUGAUGAGGUUGCUGCGAUGUUCCGGGCUGAGUUGCUGGAACUGUUUGGGUCGAUCAAGACCGCUAUGGUUGAGUAUUUUGAUGAGCGUUAUGCAGAUCUUACAGAGACGGCUGCCGCGGUAGCUACAACGGCUGGGGGGGGGGGCGGUNNNNNNNNNNNNNNNAACGGCAGGGGGAGGAGCCGUUAGAGGUUUUCAGUAUCGGGACUUCGAUAAUACGAAGCCACCUACCUUCGAUGGAGUUCAGGACUCGAUUUUUGCUAUGAGAUGGUUAUCAGACGUGGAGGGGUGUUUCUUCACGUGCUCAUGCCCUGCUGAUCAGAGGGUGAGGUGUGCUCUGAACCUUUUGAGGCUCGGGGCGAAGGAUUGGUGGAGGUUGACCACGGGAUCGUAUUCUGAUGCGCAGCGAGCUGCGGUUUCUUGGGAUCAAUUCAGAGAGAUGUUCAGUACUUGCUAUGUUCCGCGAGUUGAGAGGGAGAGAUUAGCUCAUGAGUUCCUGGAGCUGAAGCAGGAUUCCGAGUCGGUGACGGAGAUCACCAGGAUGUUCACUGAGAGGGCGAUGUUUUGCCCUGAGUUUGUUUUUGAGCAGGCCCAGAUGACCCGAUAUCUGAGUAUGCUGAAGAGGGAUAUCAGGCAGUUUGUGUCUAUGCAGAGGUGCGAGACAUUGUUGGAGUUGCAGGAAGCCGAUAGGCGGCGCGAGUUAGAGAUCGAGUUGCAAUUGAGAGAACAGAGGCAGGCUUCGGUACAGUCGCAACCGGCGCCGAAAAGGUCUAAGACCAUUGAUUUCAGUUUGAGAAGUCAGAGCAACCACACUUGUGAGAAGUGAGGGAAGGGUCAUGUCGGAGCUUGUAGGUCCGGUGGUGCAUGCCGCAAGUGCGGGAGAGAGGGGCACUACGCGAGGGAUUGUUGUCAGUCAGCCCCAACCCAGGAUAUGAGGAUUUGCUAUCAGUGUCAUCAGGUUGGUCACAUGAUGGCCAACUGUCCACGGCUGGUUGGGAGGUCGGUGCGGGCUCUAGCAGCGGCCACAUUGAGGAUUAUGGGUGGAGGUCAGGGUGGAGCAGAGUCUCCGAGGGCUCAGGGUCGUGCUUUUCAGCUUACAGCAGAGGAGGUCAGGGCAGUGCCGGAUGCAGCUGCGGGUAUGUUUCCUUUUUGAUAUUAUGUUAUCUUGUGAUUAUUAUGGAGUAUUGUAUAUCUGCUAGUCUCGUUGUGUGAUUUUUGGUAUUUUAUUUGUUGUUCCUUGAGGGUUAUGGUAUGGUUAAGGGUUUUGGUAUUGGGAGUUUCGUUGGUCAUCAUCCAUGGGGAUUAUUAGUGGGAAAUCAGGCUUUUGGUGGGAAUGUCGGGUAGCAUCUGCAGUCUGAUGAGUGGUUAGCUGAAGGUCGGGCUUCUUUCAAGUCCGAGAUGAUCAGUGUUGAUAUGUGAUUUUGUGAAGGUUGUUCGUUCUAGUGGGAAUCAGUUUGCGUGUAAGGGAAUGUGUUGUGUAAGGAUGUUAAGGGAGGUCGGUUAUGGCGACUAGUGGUUGAUAGUCCGAGCUCUAGGUGGGGGAGAAUUGGAAAAUUCUCCAGAAGAUCAACAAGCAUGAGAGGUUGAUUAGCUGUCUGGGAUUCAACAGCGGUUCUGUUAGCCAAGAGCGUAGGCUGGUAUGAGCAAGUGACAAGAAAGCGGGGCGGGAUGCAGACCAAGGGUUUUGUAAAAAGGGCGAUUGAUUGUUGAAGGCCUGGGAUCAGGCCGGGAUUGAGUAUGUAGGAUGGAGUUAGAGUUCGGAACCCAUAGAGGGCGAGAACAAUAUGCAUGGGAGAGUUUUCCAAAGGGAUAAUUCGGGAUGAUAAAUGCUAGUCGAGCGGUCCGGACAGACUGAAGGCCGGUGGGCGUACCAGUCAGGCCGAAGGCUCGGGGACGGUCCAGACAGGCUGAAGGCCCUGGAGGGCGGUCCAGAUAUGCUGAAGGUUCUGAGAGUGGUCCAGAUUGGCUGAAGGCCUGGUAAGGUGGUCCAGUCAUGCUGAAGACUCUACAUGUGUUGAUAGUUCUAUAUGAGGAGAUGGAAUGAGUAUGUUGCGAUGUGAUAGCAUCAGAAGGUCUGGCCCCGGGUAUUGAUCAUGAUUAGUGGAAGGUAGUGCAUGGACUCAAGAGUCCUUGCGAACAGAUUCAGAGCAUGUGUGGUGCAUGGGAUAGCGGUUAUGCUAUAAGGGAAUGGUGUAGCGUUGGGCGAGCACCGUGGCACUUGUUGUAGUGACAAGGCAGCCAAGUAGAUUUCCUUGGAUAAGGAAAGGGAAAGGUAUGUAGCUCCGAGAGGGAGUGUAAGUUCUCGGAAGCGAAAGCAGUAGCGCGGAGGUAUGAUUGAGGUGUUCCAAUCAUGGUUAUUGAGUAGUGUGUUUGCGCCGGUGGUAUGGAAUCACAUCCGGGUUGGAUGUCUGCGGAGGUCACGGAAGGAGUUCCGAAGGUGUAGAGCCAAAGAGACUCAGAUGGGAUGCAAGGAUGGAGCCUUGGAUUCCCAGUUUGGUGUGAUCAAGAUAUUAUGCAUGUAGCGGUAAUUCAUCCUGGGGGGAUGUUUGGAGGUGUCGUCAGUGCGUCGGGUUUUCCCAACCCGAGAAUACUAGAGCUAGUUCAACAUGUGUAUGUGAUGGCGGAGAAGAACUCAUGGGAGUUGCUCUAAAGCUGAAGGAUGCGUCAUCCUGUCAGCAUGGAAGGGAUAAAGUUGGACUCAGAAAGGGAGCAGGUUAAGUCUCAGUAGUGAAUUCGGUGAAGGAUAUGUUUGAUGAGGAAAAUGAUAGUAGUGCGGUACCGGGUCGGGAUCUCGGUGGUUCAAGGCUAUAUCUAGCUCGUAAGAGUCAAGUGAUUGUUGUGAUCUGGAACGAGUAAUGUACCAUGGAGUGGUACUUGGUUGAUAAGUGUGGUUAUCAGAGGAUGAAGUCGGUGGCCGGCUUGAGGCGGGGGUCAGGACACCGCAAGGGAUGAAUUGGGUUUCGGGUUUCGAUGGUAGUGUUUUGAGGAACCUGGUUUGGUUAAUGCCAGGUGGUCCAUUGCGAGAAUAGUUUCUGGAGUUGUGUUGCCGCAGGCUUCGAGGACGAAGCCUAAUUUAAGUGGGGGAGAAUUGUAACAUCCCAGAAUUCAGAAGUAAAGUGGAAGGGCUAAAGGUGUAAAUAAUAAGGUCGACUCGGUGAGUCGAGUCGCGUUACGGGUCGCGUGUUAAGUGACCAACUCGGCGAGUUGGUGCUGUGUGGAGAAAACCCUAAUCCUGGGGGUUGAGCCAUAUUUAAAGAACAUAAUACCCUCUCCCCAGCCUCUUUACUCUCCCUUGAAGUCCAGAAACCCUAACAUUCGUUUGUGAGAGAAUUAGAGAGCAUUUGGACCUUGAAGGAGUGUUUGUUGAAGAGAUCCUUGAAGAUUAAGAGGCUUGGAGCAAGGGGCUUUGCAAGGCUUUGGCUUAUUCUUCUGUUGGAGUCUUCUCUUGAGGUAAUGAUUCGUUGCUUGAGCUGUUAUCCAUCUAGAUCUAUCAUUUGUGGGAUUUUUGGGAGUAUAUCUAGUGCUAUCUUGAGCUUGGAGGUUGGAUCUGAGGUUGCUACCUCAGAUCUAGUGUAGUGAUGAUCCAAAGGAGCAUAAAGUCUCUGUUGAAGAGUUGUUGAUGAAGCGUUUUAGUCCCAAACCCUAGCCCUAGAGUAUAUUAUGCUUAGAUCUGCUUGGAUUCACGUAAAGUUUGCCGCUUUACAUGUUGGAUGGCUUGUAGAAGAGUAGAUCUAUUGAUUUGAGACCCUGCAUGGCUUGGAAAGCCUCUGUAUGGGUUAAGAGCUAGUGGUACUUAGCGAGUCACAUGGGUGUACUCGACGAGUUGCUUGAAGAUAGGCAGCAACUCGACGAGUUGGUUGAAGAUAGCCUUGGACUCGGCGAGUCUGGUCGUGAGGUCCUAACCUUUCCUGGUUGAGUUGUGAAUCGUUGAUUCAAGGGAUGACUCAGUGAGUUGAGUGUGAUUAGAUUCAGAGUUGUAGGACUCGACGACUCUUAGGGAGACUCGGCGAGUUGAUUCGUGUUAUGGGAGUUUAGAGNAGGGACUCGGCGAGUCAGCGGGCUGACUCGGCGAGUAGGGUCAGUCAGGAAGUUUGACUUUGACUGAGGACUUUGACUUUGACCAAGAGUUGACCAGUUGACUUCCAGGUGUAAUUUGGUAAUUAUUGGUAUUUAUUGAGUUCGAUCUUUUGGUAUUGUUAGUGGUGGAGUUCGUGUCAGAGGUUGGAGCAGCGUGAUCUUAUCUUUUCAGUCAGCAGUUUCGAGGUGAGUUAUCCUCACUAUAUCAACAUGGUCUAAGGCACCAAGGCCGGCCCUUUAUCGGAUUGUAAUCCGGGUAUCGUUGUUAUGUUAUUGCUUUGCUAUGUUUGCAUCCUGGUAGUUAGGAUGGUAUAUGCUAGUAACUGGUUAGGUCGGUAUCCUGGUUAGGGUGAUGUGAUGUUAUGUGAUCUGCUAGAUCGGUUUGAUUGGAUGCGAAUUGUUAUAUGAUUGUAUGUCUAUUUGCACAUGGUUGUUGUACUGGGGUUGGGUUGAGUCGGGUCCUGCUUUGUGCUAUAGGCCAACAUACCCAGGGCGGACCGGUUAACCCAAAGGCCCAACGAGUGGUCCGGAUAGGCUGUAGNAGGGCGGACCAGACGUGCCGAGGCUCAGAGAGUGGACCAGGCCGACUGAAGGCCCGGUGCGGGCGGACCAGUCAUACUGUAGACUCAGAGAGUGGACCAGGUAGGUUGAAGGCCCGGUGCGGGCGGACCAACCACACUGCAGACUCGAUGGAUAUGGCUAGACUCGGAGGGUGGACCAGGUGGACUGAAGGCCCGGUAGGGCGGACCAGUCACACAGUAGACCUGAAGUGCAUGGCUGUUCUGUUCGGUUAUGAUAUGUUAUGCGUGGUAUAUGUGGUUGGUAUUUUGGGGGUAUCUCACUAAGCUUUCGGGCUUACAGUUGUGGUUUAAUGUUUUCAGGUACUUCAGGAGACCGUGGCAAGGCAAAGGCGUGAUCGUACCGCUCCUCAUGUUUAUGUUUUAUGAUAUGGUUCUGGGAAGACUCUGAUUAUAAUUGUAUUGAAAACCUUUUUGUAAUGACUUAACGAAACUGGGUUGUUUUUGAAAAGUUUAAAUUGGCUUGAAUUUUUAGAGUGUUACAAGUUGGUAUCAGAGCCUUGGUUUGAGUGAAUUGGAGGAACAUUCGUGUGAAUCCAGUCUCAAAUCAAGGAGAGUUUUCAAAAGAGAAUUUAAAAUGGUUUUCAAAAUGAGUAAAAGAGGACGCGGAGGUACAAUCAACCGGAGCCAGUAAGUAGCCCCAAAAUACCAUGCAAGUUAUUUGUUUAUGUGAUAUGAUAGAACAACAUGCUAGUACUAGGCUAGGGAUCUUCAGGAAUUGCAUGAUAGUGUUGCCUGAUUUGUGAUGCCUGCUAGCCAAGGGUUUCUUUCUGUAUGAGAUUUCCAGUGUUCUCUAGGAGUGAGGGUUGAGUUCUUGGUAUGCAUGUUCUUCACUAGGGUAUUGUGGUGAUACUUGGUAUAAAUAUGGGUAGGUGUGGGAGGUAGUAUGGGCCCGUACUACUGAAAGCACAGGACCCAUAUGCGUAUCAAGGAAGUCACAACCCCUACGACGGUGUUGAGAGUCGGUUCCCGGGUUAGUGGGAGGUAUCUGAUGUUUGCGGUAUUUUCUUUCAGUAUGGUGGUUAGCAUGCUGGGAGUGGAUCCGAAUCAGGAUCGGGAGCAGGAGAGGGCGGUCAGGGUGGGUCAGCACCACCCGAGGUUAUUGUUCAGAUGAGCACAGACGAGUUGGAUGCUAGGAUUCGUGAGAUCCUCCAUGAUGAGGUUGCUGCGAUGUUCCGGAAAACAAUGCCUAUUGAAUUUUUGAAGUUCAUAUUUCUAAUACCAGAUGCUUUGAUAAGCCUUUAUCUAAGCUUCUUAAACUUAUGCACCUUUGCCUUAGAUAGCUCAUAUGUGUGUCUAAACAAUUCAGAAUUUAUAUCAAUAAGUCCUAAAUGUUAGAUUAAUUGCCAAAUCUUACAAUUCAAACUAUGGAAAGGGAUGCCGUAACAACAAUCGAAUUUGAGAAUACAAUUUUCACAAUUGCUAUCUUCUUAAAAUCUUUCUUAGUGAAAGCAUUUCCUCACAGUCAUUUUCAUGAAAGAGGGAAUCUUAUGACACUUAGAUUUUAUUGUGUAUGAGUUUCUAUCCAUAUGAAUUUGCUAAAACCAAGUUUGCGACAAAUCUAAACUCAUAUGGAUAUAACUUUCUUGAUUUCUAGCCUUAUGGUAACACGAGUGCCCACCAUGUCUUCCAAGUAGUUUAGCAACUUAUCCUUACAUAUCGGUGUACUUUCCAUCGAUCAAGUCGCUUUGUCUUUAUGCAUUCAAAUGAGAACUCAUAGAACUCACAUACAUAAUUAACUCAAUUGGAAUGACAUAGAAACAAAAUAAUGUCAACACGAUAGGUUGUAAACCUGAAGUCGUGUGCUAGUGAUGAUCGAUAAGGUUUAUUCUUGAUUUGUUCUUGAAACUUUUUCAAGAUCAUUAAAACUCCCACUAACCUCUUGACAUAUAUCAUUCUCUUGUCAGGAAACUUUCCUAGACAAAACAAAUAUUCAAGAGUUACUGUAGUUCUUAUCAUGACAAAAUACUUCACAUAAUUGGUUCUAGUUGGUCUUUGUCUUAUCCAAGACAACACAGCUUACCAAUUCCAAUUGUGCAAGAAUAAGAAAACUUUUCCAAAUUCCACAUUUGUUGAGUGUUAUAAACCUACUAAAGACAUGUCACUCAAUUCUCAAUCUUGGAGUAUGACUCUAAGAUUCGAUAUUGGAACGAAGUAUGAUUGACUUCUUGACUUAACCAUUUCCACAAUUCCUGAUUCCUCUUCUUAGACAUACAAAUGUACUAAGACUCACUUAGAUGACCAAUUGAGAUAUGGUUCUUAAUCAUUAAGACUUUAUCAUAAAACACAAUAAAAGGUACUCUCCAUUCUUCUUAGAAUAGAGAAACUUUUAUCUUUCUGCCUACUUGAUUCUUCUUAUUCAUUUUGGUAUUUAUUGAAACCUUUCCAAUCAACUCAGAAUUACACUUAAUGUUAUAAGUAUAAUCAUAUUUACUAAAAUUUAGUAAAUCAUGACGAAUAUCUUAGUCACUAUUGUGGUGGACUUGAUUGAUGCACAACAUUGCGAACUCGAUCUCCUAGUCCUUCACUUGACUCUUUGUCAACGAAUUAGUGUAAUUUCCAAAUAUGAAAUUUCUCAUUCAUCACGCAACCAAGUUGUAUGAUUCCAAGUUUCUGUCCAAUUGAAACUUGGGCGAUGAGAAAUUCUCCCUAUUUGGUAAAUUCUCGACAUUUCCACAAAUAACAUAAUUAAGAAUCAAAUCCAUUAUUGCUAAUAAUAGAAACUUUCAAACAUCAAUUUUUCAUACACGUCAUUGCAAGGAUAAAUAAAUAAGAUAAAUUCAAAAUUUAUUUUAUUGCGGAAAAAAUUUGUCCUUACAAUGCAAUUCAAUUGAAAAACUAUGUUAUUACAUAUUUCUCAGCAAUCUAUUCUAACUCCAAGUAGUAGCUCAAGAAUCCAAUCUUCAAGCAAUGCGAUCAAAAUCCAUUUCUUCAUGAUUAGAUUCAACUCACUUCUUCCCUUAAGCUUCCUCUCUUUUCUUCGAUCCUACAAAACAUCAAGAUGUAAUCUUAUCACAUCAUGUAUUAAGAAUCUAGAAUAGGAACUUAAAAGAGUUAGAUAAUGGAUUUCACCUGAAGUAUAGCCAUACGUCUUGACUCUCCCAUCUCUUAGAUCUCUCAGGUAAAUAGGGAAGCUUCGUCUCCAAUGCCCCUUCUCUUGGCAAUAAAAGCAAAUGGACUCUUUUGGAAUGACACAAGGAACUAUCUCAGAGUUUACCUUUUCUGGAUAUUCAAUGCCAUCAUUUUCAAUGUCCAUUGAAGUUUGGGAGUUUGAUUCACCAUACAAAUUUGCUUGACCAGCACGCCAAAUCAUUGCUGAUUCAGUAGCUAUAAGCAAAUAGGUGAGAUCAAUGAGGGUCACGUUGUGAUCCAUCAUAUAGUACUCUCUAACGAACUCACUAUAUGAUUUAGGAAGUGAUUGAAGAACCCAGUCAACAACCAAUAUCUCUGAGAUAUCGACACCCAACAUCCUUAACCUAAUAAUGUGUGACUUCAUCUCUAAGACGUGCGCACACAAAGACUUUCCAUCUUCAUGCUUAAUUGCCAAUAGGGCUUGAGUGAGCUUGAACUUUUCAAGCCUUCAAACUUGUGGGUUAGGAAGAACAAUUGGGGGAGGUGGAGGAAGUGAAGCAUAAUCUCUUGUUCCUCGAUCAUAUCGUGGAACAUCAUCUUCAUUUGGAAAGCUUGUUCCAUGAGAUUUAGGAAGACCAUGAUUGUCAGAACUAGACAUCUACAAAACGAGAGAAAAUUCUAGUUAGGUUAAUUAGAAUUAUUGAUGUAACACCCAAAUGAAACAUCAAGGCUAGGAUCCAACACAAUACUUUACAACCUAGAAGAGGGAUGCCGUAAUCUAGUCGCAGAAUAUUUGAAGGCAGGCAAAUGACGAUUUACCAAUUUCCACCAUGAAAAACGAAAAGGAAGUUUAAGUUUUAAAUGAAUUGAAACUCCUAGAUCUUUUGAGAUUCAUUGAACUUUUCAAUGAUAUUUUUAAAUCUCGAUUAUUCCCUUCUAUUUGUGACUGGGAUGCCGAGGAUCACAAAUAAGGUGUGAAUAACCAUACGAACCACAUGGUGCACCCAAUGCUACUAUCACCUAAUCUAUGUGCCGGUUAGCCACACAUGCUCCAUUGAUCUAUGAUAAGCAUCGAGCCACCCUUCACUACAAAUGUCAUCGCCAAAUUAGUGUGCCAGUUAACCACACACGCUCUACUAACGUUUGACAAGGGUACGAAGUGUAAUUCCAUGGACUAGCAUACAAUUUCACAUUUUGCCUAAAGUAACUAUGAUUUGGGAAUUUGUACAAGAAUUUAGUUACUUUUGUACUUCAUUAUACUUAUAAUGGAAGGUUUCUGUCCUAUCCUACCUUUUCGGCUAACAACCCUCCACUAGUCAAGAGUGCGGUGGGUAAGAGUGGAUACCCAUUCAAUUGCCAUUUUAUAGGCAAUUUCCUUAAACACCCCUUAUAGACCAGCUUCGUGAAUGAGGCCAGACUGACUUUUACUCAUAUAUAUAUAUAUAUAUAUAUAUAUAUAUAUAUAAUAUUAGACUUUUAAUGUUACACAUNNNNNNUAUAGGGUGUAUUUUACACUUUUAAAAUACUAGGUGGUCUAAUUUAAUAAAUUAUACUUUUAAUUUAAUUAAAUGCAAACCAAAAACUUUAUGUUUUUAUUAAAUCUCUUUUAAUUAUACACUUUAAUUAAUUAAUAAAACAUAAGGGUGUAAUUUGAACUUUUCAAAGUACUAGAGUUUUAGAAUUUAACAUUUCAAAAUUAAACUUUUAAUUAAAUUUUAAAUUCCAAAACUUGAGGGCAAGUUUUGAACAUUUCAAAACAUUAUGGUUCAACUAUUUAAAUUUCAAAACUAAAACUAUUUAGCUCAAAUUUAAACUAUGAAACCUAAAGGGUUAAUUUGAAACUUUUCCAAACUUUAUCAAGAACAUUCUAGAUCACAAAAUUCAAAUAAGGCAAUUAUCUAAUUUUGACCUAGUCCAAUUUCUUGCAAGAUAAUUCACCAAAUAAUUCAAAUAAUUAAAUUUUAUCAUAUAAGGAAAUAAUUAUUUAAUUAAUAUGAAGUUAUCAUUUAUUUUGGCAAGGAUAAUCACCCAAUAUCAUAAAAAUUUGCUUUAUAUCAAUAAAAAACGUUUUAGUAACUAUCCCACAACCAAAGAUGCACAAAAUCCCGAAAUUACCUUUUUCUGACCAGCUGACUCGUCGAGUCAAGCAUGGACUCGUCGAGUUCACCAUGGACUCGGCGAGUCCAGCCACCAGAAACCCUAAUUUUCUAUUUUAAGCAAGAAUAAUCCAUUAUAGCAUCAAAUUCACUAACAAACAACCCUAGUCUCUGAUACCACUGAUGAGUUUCGAGCAAUACAUCAAUCCUAUGGUGUACAUGAAAACCCUAAUAGCUUUUGGAUCUAGUUUGUCUAAUGAACAUGCAAUUGAAUAUCCAAAGCUAUAAACCCUAGAUCUAGCAUACAAUUAAUCAUAUUAACAUAAAAUAGGGUUUAGAUCUGACAUUUGAUUGUUAUAUAGCAAUAACAAUCAAUCCUUAGCUUCAGAAAGCUUAGUGCCUCAAGUGUUGCACCUCUAAUGGAGUCACAAACACCACUAAGCAACAAGAAUGAAGAGGAAAGAGAGGGAAGGCACCAAAAACGGCUGGAAACCCUAAUCCAAGUGUUAGCACCGUUUUUGGUGCAUAGACGGCCUUUAUAUACAUGUAGGCUAUUAGGGUUUACAAUUAGGAAACCCUAAUCUGGCUGCUUAAUCCCUAAGUAGCCCAUGGACUCCUUUAACAUAUCCCUUGGACGAAUUCUUAAUGGGAUUCCCAUAGAAUUCGUCCAACCUAUAUUAUUUAGGUAAUCCAUAGCCAAAUUGUAAUUAUCUUAUAAUUACAAAUCCAGUCCCCUAAGUUUAAUUAAUCUCUUUUAGCCACAAAAUUAAUUAUCAAUUAAUUCUUGACUAAUAUUAAUUAAACAAUAUGAUUUCUCUUUUAAUAUAUUAUUCUUAUAAUAUAUUAAUAAAUCACAAUUAAACCUUUCCCUCCUUAAUUCAUCCUACAUAUUGCUAUGGUGAAGGCAACCCAAAAGGACUAUGCUCAUAAUCGGGUCAAGUACAUACCAAAAUAGUUAUGGACUUAGACACUAAUCCAACAAUAAGCUUUAUACCUUCAAGAGCUUGAAAGGAUGAUGAAAAUUCUAGAUCUAGGAGCUUGAGCUUCUCCAACAUUCAAUGGAGGAAUUCUUCUUUUUCUAAGAGUACAAAAAUCCUACAAAAACACUUAAAGGUCACAAACUUUCAUUAAUGGUGGCUAGGGUUUCAAAUAAUUGCUUUUGGGUGAAAUGAGGCUGAGCAUGAAGAGGCCAAAAAGGGGAUAUACGGUGUUUAAAAGCGGGUCCAAACCCUAAAUUUAGGGUUUUGCACUCUGCAUGAGUACGCUAAGCGUACUCAUACGUACACCCAACGUACGCGAAAGAACCCACACCCAUAUUUAACGAGCCACGCUUAGCAUAACCAACCAUUACGCUUAGCGUAAUGGUUUUUCACAAAAAAAAUCAAUAUUUAAAGCUUUAGAAAUUUACCUCGGAAUCGCGUGUUACACUGAUGUUUCAUUAAACACUAUAUAAUAAGUAAUAGUCAUUUAGUAAGUGGUUCCUUUAUUAUUUCCUAUCACUAAGGUCCUUUGAACCAUCUUUGAUUCAUUACCCAAUUUUUAAGACAAAAAGAAUAUUGUAGUCUUUAUAUACAUCCUAUUUUUGAAACAAAAUAAUAUAUAUAUAUAUANAUAUAUUCUAGAUGGAAGUUAGGAACAAUAAUCUUUCCAAGUUUUCAGUUUUGGUCCUUUUAUUGGCUGAGAGACAACUUUGGUCCUUUUAUUUCUUCAACAUAAAACUAUCAUCAUAGUUCUGAAUAAUCAUAGUCAUUAUAUUUUCUUUGAACUAUAGAAUUGGACAUAAGGUAACUCAUUUUUGGCAAAUGAACACAACAAUUCUCCUUCAAACAAAAGCGGGUACCAAAUCAAAUACCUCACUAUUACUUUAAUAUGAAACUUAUUGUUAUCAGAUCAAAACCGGAUGCCAAAUAAGUCUCCAGCACCCACGUUGAUCUCUACGGUGGUAUUCAAUGGUCCAUGGAGCCGAAUGUUUGAUUUCCCAUUGAUUUGUGUUUAGAGGUGAUUUGAGUUCAGUGAAAAAUGGGUUUCAAGUCUAGGAUGGGUUUCAUGUCUAGGAUGUUUCUUGGGGCUUUAUUUGGAAUUGGGAUUAUGGUGGGUUGGCGCAGACAAAGAAGCAAAAUUCGUACUCCCAAGGUAAUUAGUUACCUCAUCAUCAAAUUUUUGUUAUGUUUGAUUAUUUUUUAUAUUGAGUUUGUCUAAAUUGUAAUAAUAGCUCAUUAUGGUUUCGUAUUAAGUAUUCACCUAUGACUUUGUUAUCUUAUUAGUUCUAAUGAUGACAUACAUUUGUUACGAUUUUAUUCGUUUUCACCAUUUAGCUGUAUUCUCUUUUUGUUUUCCAAUGUAACAAUCAAGUAGGAUCCACAACCUCAUCUUUCAUUUCUUUAAAAUUCCAAAAAGAUGAAAUGUUAAAAAAUACUUGAAGCCCUUCUGAUAUGUGGCAAGCAAGAUGGUGUUUGGAAAUGUGUUUUAAACUUGACAAUUAUAUAAUGAGUUAAUUUCUAUAGACAAAGACUCAAUGCACGUCUACUUUAUUUUUGUCGUUUGUUUGAAACUGCUUUUCAGUAUUGUACACAUUUGCUUUGUCAAGCUUUUAGGAACUAAUAAUAGCAAAAACAAUCGCAACGGAUAAAGAUAACUAUAAAGGAGCUAUUGAAGUCUCUUCAAAGAAUCAGUAAGUACCAUGAAGCUAUUUUUAAUUAUUUUUAUCUUAUGUUGUUUAUUUUUUUUAUGACAAUUCAUGUAAUAAUAGUGAUAAAUAAUACUUUUCGUUUUAUGAACACCAGGUUCAAAUUUGAAACAAUAAAUAACAAUGACAUUUUUAUAAAAAUCAAGUCCAAAUUUGAAAUGUAUACUUGAGGAUACACAAUAAAUAACAAUGACCUUUUUAUAAAAACCAAGUCCAAAUUUGAAACGUAUACUUGAUGAUACACAAUAAAUAACAAUGACCUUUUUAUAAAAACCAAGUCCAAAUUUGAAAUGUAUACUUGAUGAUACAUGUGCCGAAAUCGAUUCUUGCUCAUCAGAUUUUUGGGUGAUGGUUGCAACAUUGAAGGUAGUUUAAUUCUUCAUUUAUAUUUCAUUUUCCUUUAAUUCAUUUUUUGUUAAUUAAAUGAAAAAAAAUAUAUUUUAGGAGUUCAUUCGUAAUGAAGGUGGUGGUGAAUCAACAAUUAUAAGCAUUAUACUGAUUUUCCUUAAAUAAGAAUAUCCUACAUAAGUUGGAAAUGAACAGAAGGUAGUUGCAAUUGCAAAUGAUGAUGUUUUAGAUAAUUACUGAAAGGUACUACAUUGAUGAUUAUGCAUCUUAUAUCAUCAUGUAUACCAUUAUCACCUAUACGUAAUUUCUUAUCCUUUAUUGCAGCCACGUUCUUACGAUAUGCAUAUCAAAAGUGGAUGAAAAAAAAGAGGUCAAACCUUAGUUUGCAUUUAUGGCCAUUGGCCAUAAAGGUAUUCUUUUCAAAACGUUGUAGAACAUUUUCUUUAUGUACUAUAAACUCUGAAAGUUGUUAAAUGUUUAUAUCCCAUUGUAAAUUAGUGUUAAAAAACUAAUAUAAAAAAUCUUUAAAAAAAAAACGACCCAGACCUUUUUUAUUAAUUCCUUAUCGACUUAAUAUUUUGCUCCUCACAAUUUUACUGUUUAACGUCUCGAUCAUCAAAUACAACUUGUUGUCACGACAUCACGUGAUCUUUCACGAUCAUAAAAACUAAUUUAAUUUGAUGAACAAAUCGAAAACUUCAAUCACAGCUCUUACUAAAUUAUUAAAUACUGAGCCUGUAAAAGAUCAAAAUUGCCAGUUUUAAAGUCGAUUACACUACGAACGAAUAAUACAAAACUAUAAAUCGAAACAAAAAUCACAAAUCCCACAAUAAAAUUUUAAAAUUCAAACUUCAGUAAUUACAUCAGAAACAUAUAAAUCAAACCAUAAACAUGAAGAUGAACAUGGAGAAGAAACUGCAAAUCAUUUUUUAAUAUGCUUGGCCUAUAAAAUCGAAAACUGAUCGCGAUAGAAUCAAUUGAAUAUAAACAGGGUAGAGAAAUCAUUUGCGAAGGUGCUUGAUCUUAAACCAGCCUUUUUUGAGGGAAUUUGUAAUAGUCUUCCCCCCCUUACUGAAGAACCUCUUGAUCUCAUAACCUCUCAUCUUCGCUUGCGAUUCAAAACUACCCAUCGUUGUUGUUCUUGUUCUUGAAGGUUCGAGUUGGAAGAUUGGAGAGAGAAUGUGAAGGGAGCUUUUGUAGAACAAUGGAGAAAGGGGAUAUUUUUGAGAUAGUUUUUAUAAGAAACGCGGUCCAAUCAUAUUAAACCACGCCACGCGUUAUUCAUUGGUGCACAUCGUUUCCCACUUCGUCGACCUUAAUAAUGUAAGUCCACUUGUAGAAAACAGUUUGAUUUUAGACAAAACUUUAAAAAUGGUCCCCGUGGUUUUCGAAAAUAUCAAUUUUAGUUCUUAAGUUAAAAAAACCUCACAGAUGGUCCCUAUGGUUUCAAAACUUUUAAUAAAUGGUCAUUUUCGCUAACUCCGUUAGCUUUUAGCCGUUAAGUGAAGGGCAUUUCUGUCAUUUCACAAUCACAGAGACCAUUUAUGAAGUUUUGCCUCUUUUAAAAAAAAAAAGAAAAAAAAUAUAAUUUUUUAAUAUUAAAUGGUCUCUCUCUCUCUCUCUCUCUCUCUCUCCAUUAGACUGCCAAGACCUCUUCUCUCUCAUCUUCCUAUUCGAGUCCGGAAACUCGCUAAAGCCCGAUUAAGCAAGCGCGCCAUCGAGCGCCGGUCGUGGGCGAAGUUUGGUGAUGCCGUUCAUGAAGAAGUCGGUUCUCGGCUCACCAUGGUUUCGAACAAAGAGAUCUUGCUUGAACGACCUAGGGCUCCUGGUUUGUCUCUACCCUCUUAACAUUUUCUGUUAUCUCAUUGAUGAAGUAUGAAAUUUGUGUGUUCUUAUAUUUCCAUCGACAAUUCCACUGUCAAAUUCGUUUCAGUUUCAUGAAAUCAUAUACAUUCCUCUUCCUCCGAUUGCGAUAAAUUCAUCAGUCGAAUAUAAUUAUCGGAUUUGGUGUUAAACCUUGAAAAACCGAUCUGUAUAUUCAUUUCGCUUUUCAAAAUGGACUAAUUCUGUGUUUUUCGUGUUGAAAUUUUGAUAGGUUCGAAGGGAGAAGAAAAGGCUACCGGAGACGACUUAGGAUAGCUGAGCAAAGGCGGCGCUGUACUCAUGGUAUGCAAAACUUGUGGCAAAAAAGGCGAUCACUGGACAUCACAGAACUUGCUGCCAUGGUAGUAAAGAUUUUUGGGGGAUUUUGAUCUGGAUUUAGAUUUGGAUUUUGAAUUGGAUUUGGAUUUUGCAACUGUAAUUCUUGAAUUGGGUUUUCCUUUACCAUUUGAGGAAGAGUGUGAGGUUUGAUUUUGAUCUGGUUGGAUUUUGUUGAUGAUAUUUGUGAGGUGGAUGGAAACAGGGUGUUUUGUUUGUUCACUAGCAGUUAUGACCAUACUGGGGAAAGCUUUACUAUCUCGAUAUUGAUAGUUUAAUAAAUCGGUUGGAAAGUGGGGAAUAUAAGUCGUGCAUUGAAGGUGUUCGACGAAUUGCUUGAGAGAACAUUCAGAAUCUUGAGACACUGCAUCAGAUUUUCCAAUGAACGGAUCCCUUCAAAGUUUAGUGAGAGAGAGUGUGUGAUUGGGUUCUUGAUGGUCGUCGGUAGAGAGAGAGAGAGAGAGAGAGAGAGAGAGAGAGAGAGACCAUUUAAUAUUAAAUAAUUAUAUUUUUUUCUUUUUAAAAAAAAAAGAGGCAAAACUUCAUAAAUGGUCUCUGUGAUUGUGAAAUGACAGAAAUGUCUUUCACUUAACGGCUAAAAACUAACGGAGUUAGCGAAAAAGACCAUGUGUUAAAAGUUUUGAAACCACAGGGACCAUCUGUGAGGUUUUUUGAACUUGGGUACUAAACUUAAUAUUUUUGAAAACCACAGAGACCAUUUUUGAAGUUUUGUGUUGAUUUUAUUAACUUAUCUUAUUUAAACAUUUUCGUUUACAACAAUACUUUAGUUAAAAAAAAACAGUACAAUAGUAUAUUUAGUUAAAUAUAACAAAGAUAUUCGUAUGUGGCACUUAAUGAGCUGCGAUUUAGCCAUUAUGGGAUACAAUUUCGCUUAUAGACUGUGAUUAUGUCAUGGGCCAAACACAUGAGCUUAUACUAUUUAACGUUUGAAAAAAAAAUAUCUACAUUUUUAUACAAGUGAGAUUCUACAAUUGUUUAGAGUAUGAUUUUAUGCAUUAGACGCAUAAUGCAAAUGGCGCAGAGAUUAUAAUUCUGCCAUUUUGGUGCGAUGAAAUCAUAAUAUUCUUUUUUAUUUUUGGAGUUUUUUCUUUUAUUUAUUUAUUUAUUUUAUUUUACAAAAAUUAUUGGCGAAUACGUCUUAAUUGUUUAAUCAAAUAACUAUAUAAGAGCAAUAUAUUUUCUAAAAUUACCAUAAAUCACAAUUCUCAUCAAGUUCUACUUAUCCAACAAAAAGAAUAUGAUAAAAAUAAUCGAUAACCUAUCGAGUUGAAACCAAAAUCUAAAAGUUGUAUGUUUUAUAAAUUUAACAAAUAUCUUAUUUAUGAUUUCACCAAAUCCAAGCCAUUGGGGUGCAGCAAGGUGACCCUUUGGGCCCUCUUCUUUUUGCCCUCGUUUUGCACCCGCUUGUGCACAAGAUUAGAGACAAUUUUAAGCUACUUCUCCAUGCUUGGUAUCUAGAUGAUGGGAUUGUCAUUGGGGGAUUCAGAGGAGGUGGCUAAGGUGUUGAACAUUAUUCGGUUGCAUGGUCCCGGCUUGGGUCUUGAGUUGAACAUCAAGAAAACAAAGAUUUUUUGGCCCUCCUGUGAUGGUAGGAAGCUUCGUGCUGAUUUAUUCCCAACAGAUAUAAGGAGACCUUCUUUGGGGGUGAAACUCCUUUGGGGGGCUGUUAGCAGAGACCCAAGGUUUAUUAGCGGGUUGGCCAUGAAUAGAGCGGUCAAUGUUGUUGAUUUGAUGGACCUUCUUCCACAACCAUGUGACCCGCAGAGUGAGUUACUUUUGCUUCCAUCAUGUAUGGGAAUUGCAAAACUUUUCUUUGGUUUAAGGACAUGUCAGCCGGUACACAUAGAAGAGGCAACUUUGUUCUUUGACAAAGGAUUGCGCAGGUCUAUCGAUGAUAUAGUGGUAAGUGGAGGCCCCUUCUUUGGAGACAUCCAGUGGCGCCUGGCCUCCUUACCUAUCCGUUUCGGUGGUUUGGGUUUGUACUCGGCAUACGAGGUUUCCUCCUACGCAUUUGUAGCCUAUAGGGCCUAAUCUUGGGCAUUACAAGACCACAUCUUACGUGACAGUGGCGUAUGUGGUUUGUACUCGGAUUACCUAUGUGUUAUGACUUGUCUUCGUGAUACGAUUCCGGGAUUUGACUGUAGCGGUUUCACUAAUAAGGACACCGCCNAAGGACACCCCCCCCCCUAAAUCCCAAAAAGCUUUGGCGUGUGCCCUUUUUAGCAAAACCGUCCAAGAUAUGGAAGUUGACUUCGACAUGACUGUCAGGCAGAAAGCAGUCUUUGAGUGUUUGCGCGUACCUCAUGCUCAAGAUUUUCUGUUAACUAUCCCUAUUGAUGGUCUUGGCCAGCAUAUGUCUCCUGUGGAGCACUGAACUAUCCUUCGUUACCGCCUCAUGAUUCCCAUAUUCCUAAUUGACGAGAUAUGCCCUGUUUGCCGCAAGGCAUGUUUGGAUACCUUUGGGGAACGCGUAGUUCAUUGUAGAGAGCUCCCUGGUUUCAAGUACAGACAUGAUGUGGUUCAGGAUGUUCUCUUUGAUGUUUGUUAGCGUGCUGGUAUUUCUGUGAAGAAAGAAGCGCCAAUGAACUUUUUAACGGACCCGCAGGAUGGAAGGUCCACAGUUAGACCGGCUGACAUUUUGGUCUUUGGAUGGAUAUGAGGGAAGCAUGCGUGCAUGGAUCUUACUGAGGUUCCUCCUCUCGUUGGUUUGGGGAGCGGGGGUCUCACAGCAGGGCAUGCCGCUUUAAAUGCCGCUGCGUGCAAAGUGGUAAAGCAUGCGAAUGCAUGUAUAGAAAAUCAACAUGUGUUUGUAUCUUUUGCAUUCAAUACAUUUGGGUUUCUUGCACCAGAGGCGGUGGAACUCCUCAAUAGAUUCCAACGGGUCAUGCAUUCUAAUGUCAUAACUCAUAGAUCCACAAAUAUUGUUUUCAAAAGAAUUGGUUUUGCCAUCCAGAAAGGGCUAGCGGCGCAGCUUGUUGCCCGUUUGCCUUUAAUCGAUAUGUAUUGAACUUCCAAAUGAUUUCGCUAGUGAAAUCAAUUAUUUUGAGUUUAAAAAAUGGCAAAACCUUCUGUUGCUUUCUAUAUAAAAAAUAUAUAUUAUUGCUAUUAUUUUUGCUUUAUCAAACUAAAAGCCCAAAAAAUUAAAAUUAAAAAAAAUAAUUGAAAACCAAUAUAGUUGAACCUAAAAGCGAAGAGAAAACCAAACAAAAUCAUUAUUUGGGGCUAGAAACCGACUUUUUAAGCCAAAAAGCGAACAUAACAAAGUAAAUUUCAGGGGUUGCACCAUAUAUAAACCUUAUGAUAGCCUCAUUUGGUCAUGUUUACCAAGCCUCCAUAUCUUGGAAACCUUAACCUCGCCCUUAGCCUUUGUUUUGGUGCUUUUGAGCUCUUGUGAAGCAUUUUGGUGUGUUUUUGUGUAUCUUGAAGUGGUAGAAUAAGAUUGAAGACUCAUUCUUUGGAGAAGAGCUUAGAGAUCCAGAUUUAGCUUCAUCAAUUCAUGAAUUUUGAGGUAUAAUGCCCAUAAGUUGUCAACUCUUUGUAUAGAUCUACUUUUAGGCUUGUUUAUGGCUAUUUGGUCCCUUUUGGUUGGUCCUUGUGAGCUAAGGUCGUUUCAAAAGCUUGACCCUUUAGAUCUAGACAUUUUAGGGGUCCCUUAUGCAUAAAAAUGCAAACUUUAUGGUGUAUAUGGACCCAUGUAUGUGUUAAGACCUUUUGUUAAGCUCUUUUGAGCUUGAGAUUAAGUGCUUAUUGAUGUGAGGUAGCCAACUGGGGAGUAUGAUGGGCAUACAAGCUAGUACGCUGCACGUACUAGCCCUAGAGCGUGUACGAUGAGCGUACGAGCUGAGUAUACCCCGUGUACUUAGCAAUGGGCUUCAGAAUUUUAGGCUUUUACGUAUUAGGCCCAUGUUGGACCUUAGGAGUCUAGGGAUUUGUUGGGUCAUCAUAAUUCUAUUUUUUGGUUGAUGCUAUUUUAUUGAACUCUUUUGGUUGAAGGCCCACGAAGGGAUUUGGGCCCAAUUUAGGAGAUUGGGCCAUAUUUGGGCUUUGGAUGGUCAUUUUGGAAUCUGGGCCUUUUGGAUAGUUGGCUUGGGCCUUGUCCUUGGGCCAAGUUAGUUAAAGGGUAAAAAGGUCUUUUACCCUAGUUUGGACUCUUAGUGUGAGUCGAUAUCCAAUUAUUAAUUGAAUGUUAUUUUAUGUUGUUAGCGCGAAGAUUUUAGCGGACCAGCAGCCAAAGAUUUAUCUGUGAGAUUAAGCAUUCCGAGGUGAGUUUCCUCACUAUUUUUAGCGGGUUGAAGGCACCAAUGUCGACCCAUGGUUUAUUAUGUAGGAUGCUAGAUGUACGUGUGUGUAACGCCCGCAGAUUCGGGCUAGUCAAUUUAGAGACAAUAAGCGUCAAAAAUAACUUUUUAAUAGAAGAUUAUUUAGAAUAAAUAAUCUUAACCAAGUUAUAGUAUAUGUCACAAGGGUUCUGUAUAUAUAAAGAACGCCGAAAUCCGAGUUAUAACGAAGAAUAUGACCUGCCGAAGUUUUAUGACAAUACCGGCACGACACGGAGAAUCGUAAAAAGUGAUUUUUUGAUAAACUAAUUUUUAGACUUAGAUAUCUAAAUUAAACUUGUAGUAUAUGUUAAACCGAGAGCGUGCAUAAAAAGAACGUCAAAAUCUGACUUCAUAUGAGGAAUUUAUGAUUUUUCUAAGAUUUCGCAUACCAGUAUACAACCGGGAAUUUGAAUAUUAGAUCGAACGAUUUUUAGCCAACAUAACCUAAAUGAGAAUCUAAGUUCUCGUUAAUAGUAACUCAAUGGUAAAAAGACAGACGAAAACGGACGUCGGAUGAAGAAGUUAUGAAUUUUUAACGGAUUUUUCCUGUCUCGACCUGUUAAAAUAUAAAAUUAAAAAUAAAGUCAAAUUAGCCAACGAAGUCUAAACGAAAGUUGUAGAGUACGGUCCCACCUACGCGUUGAUAUAAAUAACAUCAAAAACGGAGCUCGUAUGCAAAUUUACAGAUUUUAGAAGAUAAUUAGUCUUUAGAGAAACCAGCGAGUGACACGUGGCCCAAUUUGAGCCGCACCUUCUUCCCCACGAAUUUGCAUGAGAUCGCGACACGUGGCACAUUACUCACAACGUAAUUUUGAGUACGCUUAGCGUAACCCUUAAAAACCCAUUACGCUCAGCGUACUCGGCGCUGACAGCCUAUAAAUAGAGGCGUUUUUCCUCAUUUUUCUUGACACCUUUUCUCAACUUCUCUCAUAUAUACCCCCAAAGCCUCAAGGAUUUUCUCUAGCCUUUCUUAGGAGUUAGUAGCGAGUCCCGGAGCGCCAGAAGGCCCCGAGAAGAAGAGCUUUCAGCUCAGAAGUUCUGCCUGCAUAGAGUGCGGUUCUUCGCUAAACUCCAAUAUAAGUGAGUUAUGUCUACCCUACUUUAAAUAUAGCUUAUGCUUAAAUAUAAUAUCGUUAUUGUGAGCCUAUAAAUAAGAUUUAUCAAAGAUUCAAAAUCGUUAUACUGAUUGAUCUACUUACAAGAAUGAUGUAUAGGCUGUGGUUUAAUGAGGUGUUUAAAGUGAGAUUUCCAAACAGUAUACUUCGUAUACCAAACAGACCCUACCUCCCAUAUCCUACCUAGUUGUUCCUUACUUGAUAGAUCAUGAAUUAGACUUUGAGUUAAUGAUGAAUCUAGACUAAUAAUUAGUACCAAUAAAGAUUAGACUAAAACUUAGAGAUAAUAAUGCUAGGUUUCGUCGAAGGAAAAUAUAAUCAUUAGAAGCGAAGCGCUGCUCGAGUUUGGAAUUAUCACUUUGAAAAGUGAGUGCAUAGUUACUUUCAUCUUACACAUAGAUAUGAAGUAUUUUAUAUAAAUUAUGUGUUAUCUAUGCAUAUUAUCUGUAUACUUGCUACCGAUGCUGGAUGAACGAUUUUAUACAUGUUUUAAAUGAUUUAAACUAUAUAUGCUUUUUAUAUCUACAAAAUAUGUUGGGUAAAAAAUGGGUAGAUAAAUGAUGAGGGAUGAAAGAUGAUAUAGAGGAACAUUGGGAGUAUGGACAUAGUGCCCUAUAGGUAAACAUUGGCAACAAUGGACUUAGAAUCCUAUCGAUGAGCAUUGGCAGCUGCGCCAUAACCUGUAGAUGUUUUUGAUCUACGAUGUAGUCUAAACAUCCUAGCAGUUGCGCUCUAACGAUUGUUUUGGUAGCUGCGCCUAAUAAAGAACAUCACAACCCUAGCAACUACGCUUAAGGGAUAAUAUCGGCAGCUGCGCCUCAUAGAGAAUGUCACAAUUCUAACAGUUGUGCCUAAAUGGUAAUAUUGGCAGCUGUGCUUAAUAGAUAACAUUGACAACUGUGUCAUUAGCAACAAUGGAAUUCGUGCAUAUUCCUUAGGACAAUCCUUAGGAAUGAACGAAUGAAAAAUAGCUGAUUCUUAGGGUAGAUCCUUAAGAGUAAAGAAGAUAAUGGGGAUGAGUAAUUGGGUUAACUGUUUUAUGUUUAAACAUAAUAACUAUAUUAUUGUGGGUUGAAAAUCCUAUGUACUCACCAGGUUUCCCAACCCGACCCACUCAAGUUUAUUUGUAUCACAGGUGUCGAUAUGAAGCUACUUUACACUGAGAGAUUUAAAAGAGAUGUAGAUCACUAGUGUAAAUGAAUGUAAGUUCUAUUUAUGCUUAUGAUUCUGUGUUGACGAUGACAUCCCAAUGUUUUGAAAAUGAAUAAAAUAUACAUUUCAUUGAAAAUGCUUUGAUAACGUAUUUAUCAUGUUUUUCUGGGAACAAAUUCUCCGCAACAUAUUUCUUUAAAAGAUACUCUAAUUUUCAAAAUAAAGCAUAAACAAAUCGGUCUUUUUUGGCCGUAAAAAUGGGGGUGUCACAACGUGACUCUUGCAUGUGUAUGGAUUGAUAUGUAUAUUGAGCGGGGCUCGAAGUCAGGAAAGGCCCGAUGACUGUAUUGUAUGCUGUUAUCUUUGUGAUUAUCGCAUUUGUUAGUAUGAUUAUAUGUUUAUAUGCUUAGAUGUGUAUUGGGAGGGCCCCCAUCUCAGGCUGGGCCUGGGGAUCGACAGAUCUGUAAACCGAGCAGGGCUCGAUGCUAGGCGGGGCCCGAGGCCGGGUAGGACUCGAUGCCGAGUGGGGCCCGAUGAAAGGUGGGGGCCCAAUAUGUGUUUAGUAUGUAUGGUAUGUGGUAUGUUGGUGAACUCACUAAGCUUUGUACUUACGGUUUUCAGUUUAUGUUUCAGGUACUUCUGGUUCGAAAGGGAAGAGUCUGGGAUGAUUGAAGAGCACACAACACUUGAUUCCACAUUUUGUGAUUUACUCUGAUAUUUUGUGAUGUAGUGAUAUACUUUGGUCUAUCUUGGUUGUAUGAUAAUGUUUUGGAUUACCGUUUUAUUAAAUUAAAAAUGAAAAUUUUGGAUCUUAUUUUUGGGACAUUACAAGUUGGUAUCAGAUCCUUAGUUUGAUGGAUUCGGACAAACUCUCGGGGUGUCUGAACUCAAAAUGAGGAUUUGGUAAAAAAUUUCAAAAAGGAAAUGUUUUACAGAAAAGGGUUUUCUAAUACAAUAAAGGGUGUGGUGUAUGCAAUUCGCCAAGCUCAAGUAAGUUUUCCCAAGAUACCCAUACAUGUUAUUUGAUAUGAUUUGAUUUGUGAGACCGUGAAUCGCAGAAUAGUUAGGGCUAAGGAUCUGCUUAGUAUUUUCAUGAUAGAAUGCUAGGAGAGACGCUUUUGUAUGCCUAUUUGUAUGAGCUUGUAGACUUGCAUGCUAGUACUGACCAGUUAGUGAUAGGAUGGCCUGAUUAGGUUAUGCUUGGUUCUACUUACUCCAUGCUCGAAUGCUGCUUUCUUUGUGCUUUUUAGGAUUUCUCACUGACAUCAACUAACUAGUAAGCAAAUAUAUUAAGUUACAUAUUGUGUAAACUAAAUAAUUUCAUAAGGUUACGUUUUAACUCUAUUGCACAACUCUUGUCUGAGUCCAACCAUUGUAGCGUGAGACCUCUCAUUCGAAGAAUUAUCUAGUUUUGGUGAUAUGUAAUUGUAUUUGUGAGCUAGUUAGUGGAGGUUAGCGGGAGUACCUUCUGCAUCUGAUGGUGGAGAGUGGUGUGGAGAUUGCCCUAGGAAAACCUAGGAAGAGACUUUGUGCUAGGAGACUUACCUUGAUGAGGGUUAAAUGUAUGGAUAUAGUGUGACUUGGUGGAUUUGAGGAAAACCUUGAGGAAAGUACGGAUAUAUAUGGAAGGUUUAUGGGCCCAUACUACUGGAAGCAGAGGAUCCAUACUUGAGUCAAGGAGAGCUGCGAUGAAACCAGGAAGCUUCUAGAGUAUGAGAUACCUCGAUAUAUAUUAUGAUGGUUUAUAUGGUCUAUUUUCAGUAUGGUGACUCUUCGAGACCGACCGGUUAGUAAUUCAGGUGCUAGUGACAGCUUGGGCUCAAGUUCUAGAGUCGGGCAGUUGGAUGAUCAGACGAGGGAGUUCAUUUCGUCUGAGGUUACGCGUUACACUCUAGAGAAGAUUCUUGUGAUCUUUGAUACAAUCAAGGAGGGUAUUGUGGAGCUGUUAGAGGAGCGUUUGGGCUCUUUCCCUUCUGAGAUGGUGGCCUUGAUAGGGGUGCAUUCAUUAACCUUCAGGAAGUUCUAGGCAUGUAGGGAUCCAGAUUAUCACGGGGAGAAGGACCCGAUAACGAGUAGGCGAUGGUUAACAGAUGUCGCUAACGUUUUCCACACCAGUAGUUUCCCCGAGGGGAAAAGGUCAGACUUGCUUCUUGUUUUCUGAAGGAUAGAGCACGAGGAUAGUGGGAGGUGGUAGGACAUGACUUGGGAGGAGAGGCGAUUGAGUCCAUGUCAUGUGAUGAUUUUAUGACCAGGCUUGGGGCUGAGUUUGAACCAGUGAUUGAGAUGUAGCAGUUGACGCGAGAGUUUUAGGAUCUUCGCCAAACGACUGAGAUGGUGGUUGAGAUCACCGCGAUAUUUUCGAAGAGGGGGCUUUUGGUUCAGCAGUAUGCGGCGGACGAGGAGAUGAAGAAGGUGAGGUAUCACGAGAUGUUGAGGAGAGAUAUUCGACAGUUUGUGAGCAGAUCUAGUUGUAAGACAUUGGAGAAUAUGAUAGAGAGAGAUAAAGAGAGAGAUAUGGAGAAGAAGGGGAAGCCGGGUGAGGCUCAGGUUUUAGAGGGAUCGGGAAAGAGGCCCAAGGUUCAGGAUUCUAGAUCGAGAGGACAGUAGGGCCGGAGCCGCUGUGGGAAGUGCGGCAAGGUGCACGAGGGACCAUGCAUGGUGGGUGGUUCGGUGUGCUUCAAGUGCGGCCAUAAUGGUCAUUAUAGAAGGGAUUGUACUGCUACCACCACCACCACUACAAAAUCAGAUCUGAUUUGCUUUCAUUGCAAUCAUAGGGGCCACAAGAAGGCCCGAUGUCCGAGUUUGGAUGCAGCAGGGCCAAUGUCAGCACCCGCUCCUACGAAUCUUCAGAUUACUGAUGGACGCCAGGGCAAGGCAGAUGCAUCUGUGGUGAAGAGCAGGGAUUUUCACUUGAUAGCCGAGGAGGCUCACGCGACACCUGAUGUGGUGACGGGUAUGUAUCUUCUCAUCAUCUCUUUUUAUAUUGAAAUUCUUGCUUAUAUUUAUGUGUUUUAUUUUAGGAUUGUUCCUCGUGAAUGGUAUUUCUACUUUGGUACUGUUUAAUUCGGGGACUACCCGAUCCUUUGUAUCACUUGCGCUUAGCAAGAGGUUUGCUGGAGCUCUAGGGGAGCUGGAUUGUCUUUUAGAUAUCGAGAUUGUAGAUGAUCAAUUUAUCCGGUUAGCAAGGGUUCAUCAGGGUUGUAUUCUUCAAAUGUUCAGCGAGUAGUAUCCGAAUUAUAUGGUUCCCAUUCCUUUGUAUGGGAACAAUGUUAUUGUGUGUAUGGAUUUGCUGAGCCCCAAUGUGGUGGUGAUCGCUUAUGAGCAACAGUUAGUUCGGAUUCGAACCCCAAGUGGGGGAAAGUUAGUGGUUCAGGGAGAGAGAGCUCAACGUGGGCCAAUUUUGUGUUCAUCAACGAGGGCCAAAUACUAUAUUCAGUAGGGUUAUUUCGGAUUUGUCGCCUAUUUUAUGGAUACUUGUGAUAAGGGUAGGGCGACUGUGGAUGAUGUGCCUAUUGUGCGGGAGUAUCCGAAUGUGUUUGAAUAGGAUUUGUCUGGGGUGCCUUCAGAAAGGCAGUUUGAGUUUAGUAUUGAUAUGGUUCCAGGUGCGACUCCGAUUACCAAGGCACCAUAUCGGUUGGCUCCUCUCGGGAUGCAGGAGUUUUCUACAUAGCUGCAGAAGCUAUUAGACAAGGGAUUCAUUUAACCGAGCAGUUCGCCAUGGGGAACACCGAUCUAAUUUGUGAAGAAUAAGGAUGGAUCUCAUUGUAUGUGCAUUGAAUACACAGAGCUGAAUAAGGUAACGAUUAAGAACCGUUAUCUACUCCUGAGGAUUGAUGAUAUGUUUGACCAGCUUCUGGGUGCAUCUUGGUUUUCCAAGAUUGAUUUGCAUUCGGGUUACCAUCAGAUGAGGGUUAGAGAUGAGGAUGUGCAUAAGACGGCUUUCUGGACUCCUUAUGGUCAUUUAGAGUUCGUGGUGAUGCCUUUUGGGCUCACCAAUGCUCCAGCCGCAUUCAUGGAUCUCAUGAACCUCGUAUGCAGGCCGAUGUUGGAUCGGUCUAUGAUUGUAUUCAUUAAUGGUAUCUUGGUCUAUUCCAAGACCCAGGAGUAGCAAGAUGAGCACUUGAGGGAGGUGCCAGAGACUUUGAAGAGGGAUAAAAUUUUCACAAAGCUCUUCAAGUGUGAGUUUUGCUUGCGCGAGGUGCAUUUUCUGGGCACCUUGUGAACCAGAAUGUUAUCCUGGUCGAUCCGGCCAAGGUCGAGGCCGUGAUGCGGUGGGAGAUUACCAGGUCUCCAUCUGAGAUUCGGAGUUUCCUUGAUUUAUCCGAUUAUUAUUAGAGAUUCAUCCAAGACUUCUCCAAGAUAGUUGUUCCCUUGACUCGGUUGAUUAAGAAUUCGGUCACAUUUUGUUGGGGGCCUAAGCAGUAGGAAGCUUUUGAGACCUUGAGAUAGUGGUUGCGCGAGGCACUGAUUUUAACCCUGUCGGAGGGUGUUGAGGAUUUUGUGGUUUAUUUCAAUGCGUCGAUCACGGGGUUGGGGUCAGUGUUGAUACAGAGGGGUCGCGUGAUCGCUUACGCUUUGAGGCAACUGAAGCCUCAUGAAGCAAAUUAUCCGACACAUGAUUUGGAGCUUGAUGAUGUGGUUUUUGCCCUCAAGAUUUGGCAGCAUUACCUCUAUGGGCUCUGUUGUACUAUUUACACGGAUCACAAGAGCCUGAGGUAUCUGAUGGAUCAGCUAAAUCUGAACAUAAGGCAUCGCAGGUGGUUGGAUGUGGUGAAAGAUUAUGAUUGUGAAAUCCUUUACCACCCGGGGAAGGCCGAUGCUCUCAGCCACAAGGCUGUCGCGACUCCGAUCAUGGAUAUAUGUUUGAGGAUGAUCGUGAUUACCCUGCUUUUUGAGCAGAUUCAUGAGGAUCAUGUCGAGGCUAUAAAGGAAGAGCAACGAAAGAGUGAGAGUAUUGUGGUUCAGGUGGCUUCCUUAGACUAUGAUAGUCGUGGGUUGUUGACUCUUCAUCGGAUGGUAUGUGUUCUGUAUUAGGCCAGUGUGCGUCAGGUUCUGAUGGAGGAGGCGCACAAGUCUAGGUUCUCUAUUCAUCGCGGUGUGACGAAGAUGUAUAGAGAUCUUCGUCCUGAUUAUUGUUGGCGUUGCAUGAAGCGAGAUGUGGCUUGGUAUGUGGAGCGGUGCUUGACUUGCAGGAAAGUCAAGGCCGAGCAUCAGCGACCUCACGACAAGAUGCAGCCGUUGGAUAUUCCCGUAUGGAAAUAGGAGGAGAUCACCAUGGAUUUCAUCAUGAAGUUGCCUUGGACUGCGCGCAGAGUGGAUUUGAUUUGGGUCAUCAUGGAUCGAUCGAUCAAGAGCGUGCGUUUUAUACUGAUUCAGGAGAGUAUUUAUGCGGAGAAAUUGGCUGAGGUUUAUAUCAGGGAGGUUGUGGCACGGAAUUGGGUGCCAGUUUCGGUGGCUUCAGAUAGAGAUGUUCGGUUUACUUCUAGGUUUUGGAAGAGGUUCCAUGACAAGUUGGGUACUCGUCUCCAUUUCAGCAAAUCAUACCAUCCGCAGACCGAUGGUCAGAGUGAGUGGACUAUUCAGACCUUAGAGGAUAUAAUUCGGGUGUGUGUUUUGGACUUCGAUGGGAGUUGGGAUACGUAUCUUCCGUUAGCGGAAUUUUCCUAUAAUAACAAUUAUCAUGCCAACAUUGAUUGGCCUCUUUUUGAUAUGCUUUAGGGGAGGAAAUACAGGACCCCGAUUUGGUGGGGUGAGGUCGGUCAGCGAGUUAUGGGGAGUACCGAGGUGGUACUCAAGACUAUUGAGUUGAUACAAUAAGUUCAGAGUAGGCUCCAGACAGCUCAGAGUCAGCAUAAGAGUUAUGCCGACCGACACCAAUCAGAUCUAGAGUUCCAGGUGGGGGAUAUGGUUCUCCUAAAGGUAUCACCGUGGAAAGGUGUGAUCCGAUUCAAGAACAAGGGCAAGUUGGGCCUAGGUACAUCAGUCCUUUUAGGGUUUUGGCCCGGGUGGGUCGGGUUGCAUAUCACUUGGAUCUUCCAGAUGAGCUCAGUUAGAUCCAUAGCACGUUCCAUGUCUCUCAGUUGCAAAAAUGUUUAGUGGAUGAUUCCACAGUGGCUCCAUUGGCGGAUAUUCAGGUGGAUGAUCGCUUGAAUUAAAUUGAGAGACCAAUGGCAAUUCUUGGCCGGAAGAUGAAAACCUUAAGGAACAAGGUUGUUGAGUUGGUCAAAGUUUAGUGGCAGCAUCGCAAGGGUUCUAAUUGGACGUGGGAGCAGAAGGAUGAGAUAAGGGAACACUACCCGGAGUUAUUUGGAGCAGCGGACUUCGAGGACGAAGUAUAAUUAAAGUGGGGGAGAAUUGUAACACUUGAAUUCGGUAAGUUUUGUAUUUAGCCUCUUUAUUCUAAAAAGUUUGCAAAAUUGGUCCUUAAUCUAGUACACGGGGCGUACUAGGUGGUACGUUUAGCGUACUAGCUUCAUGCAUGAUCACGGAGCUCAUCCACGUACGUUGGGCGUACAUGAGUUUUAAUGAAACCCUAAAUUUUUGGGUUUGCACUGUAUAUAAACCUUCUGAUAGCCUCAUUUGGUCAUGUUUACCCAACCUCCAUAUCUUGAAAACCAUAACCUCUCUCUUAGCCUUUGUUUUGGUGCUUUUGAGCUCUUGUGAAGCCUUUUGGUGUGUUUUUGUGUAUCUUGAAAUGGUAGAAGAAGAUUGAAGACUCAAUCUUUGGAAAAGAGCUUAGAGAUCCAGAUUUAGCUUCAUCAUUUCAGGACUUUUAGGUAUAAAGUCCAUAACUUGUCAACUCUUUGUAUAGAUCUACUUUUGGACUUGUUUAUGGCAAUUUUGGUCCCUUUUGGUUGGUCCUUAUGAGCUAAGGUUGUUUCAGAUGCUUGACCCUUUAGAUCUGGACAUUUUAGGGGUCCCUUAUGCAUAAAAAUGCAAACUAUAUGGUGGAUAUGGGCUCAUGCAUGUGUUAAGGCCUUUUAUUACGCUCUUUUGCAUUCUAGAGCCCCAUUAGACCAUGCAUGCAAAUAAAGUUACCAACUUUAAGUGAUAAAACAUCUUUUGAGACAAGAUCUGAGAGUAUGGAGUAAGGCUAAUGGAUUAAGUGCUUAUUUAUAUGGGGUGGACAAAUGGGGAGUAUGUUGGGAGUACAAGCUAGUACGUUGUGCGUACUAGCCCCAAAGUGUGUACGCUGAGCAUACGAGCUGAGUACGCUCCGCGUACUUAGCACUGGGAUUCAGAAUUUUUGGCUUUUCGGUAUUGGGCCCAUGUUGGACCUUAGGAGUCUAAGGCUUUGUUGGGUUAUCAAAAUUCUAUUUUUUGGUUGAUGCUAUUUUAUUGGACUAUUUUGGUUGAAGGCCCACAAAGGGAUUUCGGCCCAAUUUGGAAGAUUGGGCCAUAUUUAGACUUUGGGUGAUCAUUUUGGAAUUUAGGCUUGUUUAAUAGUUGGCUCGGGCCAAGUUAGGUAAAGGGUGAAAAGGUCUUUUACCCUAGUUUGGACUCUUAGUGUGAGUCGGGAUCCAAUUAUUAAUUGGAUGUUAUUUUAUGUUGUUAGCGCGGAGAUUUUAGCGGACCCACAACCAUAGAUUUAUCUGUGAGAUUCAACAGUCUUUGGUGAGUUUCCUAACUGUGUUUAGCGGGUCGAAGGUACCAAUGCCGGCCCAUGGUUUAUUAUUUAGGAUGCUAGAUGUCUGCAUGACUUUUGCAUGUGUAUGCAUUGGUAUGUAUACCGUGCGGGGCUCGAUGUCGGGUAAGGCUCAAUGACUGUAUUGUAUGAUGUUAUCUUUGUGAUUAUCACAUGUGUUAGUUUGAUUAUAAGUUUAUAUGAUUAAAUGUGUAUUGGGUGGGGCCUAUGGAUUGGCAGAUCUGUAAACCGAGCGGGGCUCGAUGAUGGGCGAGGCCUGAUGUCAGGUGGGACUCGAUGCCGGGUAUGGCCCAAUGAAGGGCGAAGGCCUAAUAUGUGUUUAUUAUGUAUGGUAUGUGGUAUGUUGGGGAACUCACUAAUCUUUGUGCUUAUGGUUUUCAGUUUAUGUUUCAGGUACUUCGAAAAGGAAGAGUCCGGGAUGAUACCAAAGGACACACCAUUCGAUUCUGUAGUUUGUGAUUUACUUUGAUAUUUUGUGAUAUAGUGAUAUACUUUUGGUCUAUCUCGGAUUUAUGAUAAUUUUUUGGAUUACCGUUCUAUUAAAUUAAAAAUGAAAAUUUUGGGUCUUAUUUUUAGGAUGUUACAUAUAGAAAAGAGGAAAUAGCAAAAUUGAUCCUUGUGAUUUACCAAAAUUGCAGUUUGAGUCUAUUUUUUUGUCGCAUGGUUAGUCUACAAUUGAAACAUUCUCGCAGAAUCAGUCCCUCGAAAAUUUGAAUGCACUUUGUAACAUCCUAUUUCGAAUCAUUUCAUAAUUCGGGACCGUAACCCAAAGAUGAAGUAUCAUAAGGAUUCAGGCUGUGGGGAAAGAGAGGUUUAGACCCAUUUGGAUGUGGGUAAUGUGGAUUAUGUGAUCCAAGAGCUCGGUUUGUGCUUUGGGUGUUAUGAGCUUUUGGUCAAUUUAAUGCAUAAAUUUAGAUCUUGAAAGUUUGUGACCUUGUUAUGGAUAAUGUUGGAAACUUUAUUCAUCUAAACAUUAUAUUGAUUUAGAUCUAAAGGUUGGAGACUUGGACUUAAUGGAUUAAGUUGAAAAAGAUGCACUUUUGGUCCCUUGGAGACUUAAAGACUAGAUCUCGGUCGUUUGGACCAUUCUAAUGGAUAAAGUUUGAAACUUUAUCCAUUAUGGAGUUAUUCGGAACCAUAAAAUGUGAUAUUGGUCCUUCUUUUCCUUCCAUGCAUGAGUUGGUGGUUUUUUGAUGAAGUUAUAGAUUUAGGGCUUUGGGUUGGACACUAUUAAGCCAUGUAGAGUCAUGAAGUUAGGAACUUUAUGACUUAGGACCUCCCAUAAGAAUUAGAUAUGGAAGUUAUACAUGGUUUUUUAAGGCAUUAAGAGGUUUGGAGAUGAUUAUGUACUUCAACGUCAUACAUUGGUUGUAUGCACCUGAAUGGAUUUUCGACCAUUUUUGGCCUUGAACAUUUUGGGUUUGGGCCUUGCUUUGUUAGGGUAAGUAUAGGAAGGGUAAAAUAGUCUUUUACCAGUUGUUAUGAGGAGAUAUGAAAAGGACUUUGAAUUAUGGGAAAUUAUCCUAAUUAUUAAUUAAGGAUAAUUUGGAUGUGUUCAGUGUGAGGUACCCGGUAACAACAACGCGUGUGUGUUUCAGUUAUCUCAAAUUGAGGUGAGUCUCCUCACUAUACUAAGGGGGUCGAAUAGAAUUAUGUUAUGUAGAAAUACUAGGUGGUCACACCUGGCAAUUUCAUGAAAGACCUGGAUACGGGUCCCGACAAAUUAUAUGCAAUACCAGGGUUUGGAACUUGGCAGUUAUAUAUAGUAUGCUAGUUGUCUUUGUGAUACUUGCAUGGAAGACCAAGAGGUGGCUCUUGGCACUUAUUUGUGAGACCCAAGGAUUGGCCUCCGACCUAUCAAGUAAAGAUUCAUGAUACAACUUAUGGCAUAAUGACAAUUAUAAGACUAUGGAUGACACAUAACAAUAUCUAUUGUAGGUAUGGUAUGUGGUAUUUUGGGGAACUCACUAAGCUUUGUGAUUACAGUUUUAUAUAAAUGAUUUCAGGUACUUCCAGUAUGAAAGGAAAGGGCCUGGCGUGACUGUACCGCAUCCACAAGAGUUUUCUUCAUUGGUAAUUUUCAAUAUUUACUCUGAUGUUUAAAUAAUAUAUUCACUUUGAUUGGUUUUGGAACAAUUCGUUUGUAUGGUUUAUUGUUUUAAAAAUGAAAAUUUUACUAUGAAUUUUUGGGACGUUACAAGUUGGUAUCAGAGCCUUGGUUUGAGGGAUUUGGGCACACUCUCAGGUGUGUUAGAACUAAAACUAAGGAAUUCUAAAAUCUUUUAAAAGAAAAUAUCUAAAAAGAUUUUUCUUAUAAAGAAAAAAGGGGUGUGAUGCGUGCAAUCAGUUGAUCUCAAGUAAGUGAUUCCUAGAAUACCCAUACAUGUUAAUAUGUUAUAUGAUAUGAAUGCUUGCAUGCUAGUAUAAGGCUAAGGAUACUUACAGGAAUUUGAUAGAUUGGCCUGAUAUGUGAUACCUUGUAGCCUCGGAGGAAUUGGAUUCUAUGCUAGAUUUGGAAUCUAUAUUGAUAGAAGUAAUUGCUAAGUGUAUGCUUUAAAAAUUGUAUACGAUUAGGAUCAUAUAGCCCUAGAAUGACUGAGUUAGCCUUAUUUCUUGUUCCUUGUCUGUUUGUGGUCUUAGGGUAGAGUCUUUUAUUCGAUAGUUUAUUUGAUCUUGUAUUGUGUAUAAUUUGAAUGCAUAAGGAAAUCGACAUUAAGAGUAGAAGUUCCUAGCAUGGUAGUAGCAAGUGAGCUUGGAUGUCCCUUUUUGUUUUGUGGCUUAUAGUGCUACCGAACGAAUAUUGCUUGCUUUGUGCUUUGUGCUUUGUGGGACCCUUAGUGAUGUGAGUUAACUAUUAAGUAUAUAUGUUAAGUGACAUGCUGCAGAGGUUAAAUAAUCUCAGGGUGAUGGAUUUGACUUUAUUACGCAUAUCUCGUUUGAGUCUAACCAUUGUACGGAUGAGUCUUUUACUCGAAGGAUUAUCUAAACUUUGUUGCAUGUUAUUGUAUUAAGAAGUAGUUAGCUGACAUUAACAAUAGUUCUUCAGCAGCUGAUGGCAGGGUGAGGUCGGAAACCUACGAAAGCCUAGGAAGUGUUUUAGUAGGUUUGGAUGCCCUGUUUUUGAGAGGGCGACUUAGAGGAUUCGGGGUAAUUCUUGAGGAAAGUAUGGAUAUGUAUGAAAGACAGUAUUGGGCCCAUACGACUGAAAGCACAUGAUCCAGACUUGAAUUGAGGAUAGUCACAUAGAAUCUAGGAAGCCUGUAGGAUGAGGGUUCUUUGGGUAUGUGUUGAUCAUUUGUAUGUGUGCUUUUCAGAUUGGUGAUGAUCACUCAUGGAGGAGAUUCAUGUUUUGGUACAGGCUUAGGUUCAGGUGCUGAGCCGGUGGAUGAGCGGAUGCGGGAGUUCAUUUCAUCAGAGAUCACCCCAUGUAUUUUGAAGCAGACUCAUGUGAUCUUCGGUUCGGUCAAAGAGGGGAUCAUGGAGAUUUUAGAUGAGCGCAUGGGCAUGUUUCACACUAAGAUUAUGGCUAUUAUGGGAGCUCGCACUCUUUCCUUCUGCGAGUUAUGUGCUUGUGGAGCUCCUAAGUUCUUUAGGUAGAAGGACCCCAUUGCUAGUAGGAGGUGGUUAGAGGAUAUGGUGACAACUUUCCGGACGAGCUUCUACCCCGAGGGGUCGAAGUUCAGAUUUGUUUCUAGACUUCUAAAAGACAGAGCACGAGAUUGGUGGGAGGAGGUAGACUUCUCUUUGGGAGGCAAGACCAUUGAGACGAUGACUUGGGAUGAUUUUGUGACCCGGUUUAGGGUGUAGUAUGCACCAACUAUCGAGGUGCAACAGUUGGCAAGGGAAUUUUAGGACCUUUGCCAGAUGACUGAGAAUGUUGUGGAGAUCACCACCAAAUUUAGGGAGAGGGCUCUUUUGGUUCCAUAAUAUGCUACAGACGAGGAGAUGAAGAAGACUUGGUACCAUGAUAUGUUGUGAGACGAUUUCAAGGAGUUUGUUAGCUUUUCAACAUGUCGGACUUUGGAGGACAUGAUUAGCUAGAGAUCGAGAGCGGGGGAUUGAUUUGGAGCAGCUUGGGUGUAACAUCCAAAAAUUAUAACCCAAAAAUUUCAUUUUUGAUUUAAGUAAAAAUAGUAUUCCAAAACAUUGUUCAUACAACCCAAUAAAAUAAGUAUGUAAAACAUCAUAAGAAUCGGAUUAUGUCCCAUAAACAGAAUCCAUGUGGUGUGUGCGAUGCAGUCAACCCGAGCUCUUCCCCUUCAAACCAGAAGUACCUGAAACAUAAACUAAAAAUAGUAAGCACAAAGCUUAGUGAUUUCCAAAAAUAUCGCAUACCAUACAUAUCAUAUAACGGGCCCCACCCAAAUGAGAUACGGGCCCCGCCCACACUUGCAUAAUGGGCCCUGCCCGCACUUGAAUAACAGACCCUACCUAAUGAGAUACGGGCCCCGCCCACACUCGAAUAACGGGCCCCGCCCAAUAAACUCACAUAUACAAGCACAUACAAGUAUCACAUAGACAACAAGUAUAAUAACAUAACCAAUCGAGGGUCAACCUUGGUGCCUUAGACCUGCUAAACCUAGUAACGAAACUCACCUCGAAUGUUGAGUGUCACUAAAAUAAAUCCCUAGCUGUUGCCAUGAUGACUCCUCGAGCUAAUAGUACAUAAUAACACCCUCUUAACACUAUUCCAUAUACAAUAAUCCAUUCUUAGGGUAAAAUAACCAUUCCCCUUGACCUAAUAUGAGCUAAAACCAAGGCCCAAAACCACUUGUUCCUCCACGACCCAUUUAUGGACCAAUUUUCCAAAUCGGGCCCAAACCCCCAAUAUGGACCUCACCCCUAGGCCCAAUAAACUCACUCAGUCCAAAGGCUUGAUUUUAGAUGGCCCAAUAAGGCCCAAAACAACAAUGUCCAAGGAAGUAGCCCAAACGAGGCCUAAAAGACGCAAAGCCCAAAUCAUUGAGUACGUGGGGCGAACGCAACUGUACGCUAAGCAUACAUGUUGUAUAGCUUGUAUGUUGUGUGUACGAGCUUGUACGCCCAACGUACUCACCCAUUAAGCCAUUUCUCCAAAAAUCUCUUAACUGCUUAAAUCUAAGGGUCCCAAACACAGAUCUGGGCCAUAUGCAACAUCUUAAACCAUAAAGUCACCAACUUGGUGACUUUGCAUGCCCCAAAUGAACCCAAACCCAAAAUACAACCAUGUACUUUCAUAAAAAGAACUCAAACUCAUACAUGGAUAGUUUUAAGCCUCAAAGAUGGCAACUUUAUGACUCUAGGGCCAAAAGAACACCAAGAGUAGCAACUCUAAGCUUCAUAAAUGAAAAUAAUCUGCAAGAUCUCAUCUAUGGGACCAAAAAAGUCCAAAAACUCAAACAAAGGAGAUCGAAGCUAUAACACAAAGUUCUAAGCUUUAUACCUCAAUUGAGUGCCAAAAGAUGAUGAUAACUCGGAUCUUCAAGCUCAAGCUCCAACAACUCUUCUUCACAAACUUCUUCUUCUUCCUUCCAAUGCACCAAACUACCAAAAACACACUCCACAAGGUCAAGACCACACCAAGAUGCUAAAGGGUUCGAUAUUGGGGUUUCUGGACAGUAGAGGCUGAUAAGGAGACUAACACUUGGGACUUAAUGACAUUAUAUAGAGCUUGAACCCUAGAAAUUAGGAUUUUUAGUCUGACCAUGUACGCUGCAUGUACCACCAUGUACGAUGCGCAUACGUGCAUGCCUUAGAGUUCUAAAUGAUCCAUUUACCCCCACAUACACUCGGCUUACGCCCAACGUACGACCUCGGAUAAGGCCACUCAUAAUGGCCCAAUCCACUAAGCCCAACACAACUUACAUGAUUUAGACAAUUAAAUAAAUAAUACCUUAGACGCAUCGGGUUUUACAUCGGAAAGAGUAAGCCAGAAUAGGUGCAUACAGUUGGGGGUCCUAUGAAGGGACCGAAGACUUCUGCUCAAUGAGUGAGAGGCCAGUAUGGAUGAGGUCAGUGCAACAUGUGUGGGAAGCAGCACGAUGGAGUUUGUCAAUCUAGGGGUUCGGGUUACUAUAAGUGUGGCACAUUUGGUCAUGUCAGCGGAGAUUGUCCCCAGGGGCCGAGUCCGUUAUGUUUCCAUUGGAACCAAGUGGGCCACACGAAGACCGACUGUCCAGAGUUGAUGACGGGAGCAGUGAGGGCAUCGGCUCUAGCCACUCAAAGGAUUACUCAUGGUCGGGAAAAGUGAAUGUUUCCGUGGUGAGGAGUCGGGCAUUAUAGCCAUGGGCCAAGGAGAUCCGAAUUCCACAAGUUGACGUCGCAUGUAUGUGUUUUUUCUUUCCUUCUUGCUCUUUUUAUUUGCGUUUGUGAUGGUAUGUUGUGUGUGAGACGCUAUGUGUGGCUUAUCUAAGUGUCCACCUAGGAACUAGAAUUUUCAUCAUGAUGGUCUAGACAUUUUAUUUUGAGAAUCUUCAUAUGUCAUUUACAUACCGAGAGUUGUGCUUAGAUGAUAUUCGGGUGAACCUCUUUUAGAUUUCGAUGUGGUAGGCCUCGACCAUCGUUAGAUGAAGCUUUAAGUGAGAGAAGACCAUCAACCAGUUUAAUCUUUGGUGGUAUUAGCAAGGAAAUCAAGGAAUCCACAAGGUGGGCAUGCUGGGUUUGAAUGCAGGAUUUGUGUGGGUCUUUCGGAGGUACGAUGCAAUGAUGAAUUGGUUUGAUCGUGGGUGUAAGAUCGGUAAUUUUCAAGUUUAUACCUUCGAAGUAUGGUCAGUUGCAGAUUUGCAUAGGAAUUACUCUAGUGCAUGUAGGUCGUUGAAUUGCUUGGGUACCCGUUUCUAUAGUUUAGAUUUUGUUCUUCAUCAUCCGAUAAAGUCACCGAGGACUUAUAGUGGAUUCAGUGGAAAGUGCUCAGGAAUAGUGAGCUCGUUGAGGUUUCGGGGAGUAUUUAUUCAAAUUUGGCAGCUGUGUGUUCGCUUGGAUUAGCUAGUAAUGCAACGCUAGUAUUUGUGAGCUUAGGAUGUGAACGUCUUCGAGUAGUCAGGUUGUGAUAUAGAUUGGAAAUCUAUGAAUUUUGUGGUUUGAAAAGUGCGGUUGAAUCCAAGUGGGGGAGAACCGCUUGGACUAAGGGAUUGCACAAGGAAUGAGAUUUCAAGUUACCUUGUGCAUCAAUGGUGGCAUAUGGCGGGUAUAUGAUUAGGUUUAGGUUGAGGGUUGUCAAAGAGCCUCUCUGGAUGUUCUUGUCUGAUAAAGGCUUUGUGACUCGAAGCAUGAACCAAAUACCUAAUUGGGGUAUAGUCGAAUGAGGCUUCGACCCAUGAUUUAUUUGGUUGGCAGGUAGCGAUAAAAGUGUUGUAAGACUACGGGGUGAAAGUAGCAUUCACUAUGUUGGCUUAUAAUGUAGUAGCGUUGUAAGACUACAGGGUGACCCGUAGCAUUCACCUGGUCCAUGAGCAGUUACAAGGAUGUUGAGGAACUAUGCUUAGGCUCAUAGUUCCUCUAGGUGGAAUUAGACCAUGGUAGGACGGGUCGCGAGACCGUGGGAAGGCCACAUCAUUCGUGGGAUUGAGAAAGGUAAUGGUUCGUUUGGGGUCGGUCAUGAUGUAAGACUACAUCUGGGCAUGUAAGAUUCAUUUAGAGCAAAGUAGGUUAUGUUUCAUCAGUGUAAUGGUUGGUUAUGUUAUCCCUAGUUGGAACAGGAGGGAUGAUGAAGCCUUAUAUACAAUUAGGUUAGAUUAGCCUUGCCAUACAGACUAUUAGAUAGAGUCUCGUGGUACACUCGUUUGAAGGAUGUCAGUUUCAAUGACCAUUCGGGAAUCCGACGCUUCAGAUAAUUGGUAGAUUAGCUUGGAGCUCAAAAGAUCUUGGAUAAAUUAAAAAUGUGAAUGUUUGGUCAGUAGGAUAAUUUACGACUGUAAGGAUUUCGUUCGAUUAGAUUGCAAAGUGGAGCCAUAAUGGUUGUGAUUUAGAAUGGUUUUGUAUGCCGAGAAGUCAGAUAAGUUAUUGGAUUCCUGGAUUUGAGCUGAGUAGUGAUGGCUAUCCUUUAUUGGAUAAGGUCAGCGGGAGUAAGGAUUCGUUCAUCGUCAGUAUGUGAGUUUUGCUAAGGAUAUGUUCGAUUAUUGGAAGGCCAUCGUAUGUUAGGGUCAACUUUUAUCACAGAUCUUGAAGAUUUAUUCGGAUCGUCUGAUUUGCUGGAAAGUAGCAAGGAGUGAUUUCGAGAAUGAAAUCUAAUUUACAUGGGGGAGAGUUGUAACACCAUGUUUCGAGUCGUUUCAUAAUUCAGGGCCGUAACCCGAAAAUCAAGUAUCAUAAGGCUUCGAGCUUUGGGUAAUGUAGAUUAUGUGAUCCAAGAGUUCGCUUUGUGCUUUGGAGUCUAAGAGUAACAUGGGAAAAGUGGUGUUUCAGACUUCUUUUAUGAAUUAAUGAUUUUAGAUCAAUGUGUUUUAAGUCAAAAAUAAUUAGAUAGGGUUGUAAACCUCCUUAUUACCUUUCUGUGUAUAUAGAUAUUGUAACACCUUGAAUUCAGAAGCCCGGAAAGAGAAGAAAACCUCAAAUGAGGAAGUGACUCAUCGAGUAGAUGGGUGACUCGACGUGUAGGAGCACGAUUUGGUCGCGGGUUUAGUGGCCUACUCGACGAGUCAGAAGACGGACUCAGUGAGUUGGCCAGGUUUGGGGAAAACCCUAAAUAUAGGCCUUGCACCCUAUUUAAGGAACAUUAUAGCCUUCAUCAGCCCCCUUGAUACUCUCUCAAGUCUAAAAUGAAAACCAUAGAGCCUCCCUUGAGUUGUGAGUCAUUUUGAGAGUUUUGGAGCACUCUUGAAGCUUGGAGGAACAAGAAGAAGGUUGGAGGUUCAAGGAGGAAGGAGUAGAUCUAGAAGAUUCACUCCAUUUGCUGCUCAUUUUGGUAAUCAAGUUCCUUCCUUGACUUCUAGUUUGUUAGAUCUCUUUAUGUCCCUUUUUAUGAAGAUUAUGGGCCAAGGGUGAUCUCUUGUGGGAUUUGGACGCCCCAAGCCAGAUCCUUUCAGAUCUAGGAGUGUCUUGAGUAGUAAAAGCAUAAAGGUGGAAGCUUUAUGCCAUUAGAACUCCCCAUGCCAAGUUUAAGGAGUUGUUUUGUCCUUUUGAGCAAAAAGGGCCAUGAAAGGGUGAAAAGGUAAUGGCUUCAUGUGAUAUCCUGACCCUAGGAGGCUAGAUUUGGAUCUUGGAUGCCUUGAGCUUGUCUGAAAUCGUCUGAAUAGAGUUGGACAUAGAGAGACUCGGCGAUUCAGGCUAGUUAUUGCUCCAAAACCCUUCUGUUAAAGGGUAUGAGUUGAGUGGUUAGGGACUUAGCCAGUUUAAGCCCAUAGUAGUCAUGAGGUUCUUCGUACUCGACGAGUUCAAGGAAGGACUCGACGAGUCUCAGGCAAUCUCCUUAGUGAUGAAGAUGGAAUCGACGAGUUGUUCAUACAACUCGGCGAGUCACAACCUAGACACAUUCUUAUGUGGAUGAUGAACUCGACGAGUUCAAGGUUGAAAUCGGCGGGUCAGAUGAAGAUGGUCCCGAUUGUAUGGCUGAAGGAAAACCCGUCGAGUUCUUGCUAGACUCAACGAGUGGAGUCGGGGGUGUAUGGGGUUGGAGGAGUAUGGACUCGACGAGUUGGUAGAUCAACUCGGCGAGUCAAGUCAAUUGGAGGUUGACUUUAACUGUUGACUUUGACCAAGUUUGACCAGGGUUGACUUUUGGAUUAUUAUGGUCUAAAUGUUGUUUUGGGUAAUGAUAGUUCGGGAAGCCGAAGGGUCAGCGGUUCAAAAGUUUGCCGGUUAGCAGUCAGAAGUGUUCAGCGAGUUUUCUGCAGUGCGAGGUGAGUCUCCUCACUGCGUGCAUGGGUCUAUGGCCACAAUUUCGGCCCAUUAUAUUCAUGUUUAUGUUUAUGCUUAAGUAUAAAAGGAAGAACCGGGGGUUAGCUCUAGGCACUUAUUGACAUAUGUUCCGGGUUACGACCUGAUGCUGGGCGAGGCCCAUGGAAUGUUGGAAUGCUAGAGGUCUUUGUGAUUCUUGUAUGUGUCGAUAUGAUAGGUUUCGGACCAAGGGUCCGAUGCCGGGGUAAUCGUAAGGAAGAUUCUUAUGUAGUAUGUUAGAUUAUACUUGAUGUCUUCGUGAUGGUUGUAUAUGCCUGGUAGGGAGGUGAGUGUGGGUGAGGUCCCGUAUCUCAUCACUAGCUGAGUAUGGAUGGGGUUCCAUAUCUUGAUAUUAGUAGAGUAGGGGCAAGGCCCGUGGCAGGAAGGACGUGAGUGUGGGCAGGGCCUGUAUCUCACUACUAGUAGGAGUAUGGACGGGGUUCCACUACUUUAGUAGCAAAUCAGGGGCGGGGCCCAAGUCAGGCGAGGCCUUAGAACAUGAUACAUUUAGAUAUGUUUGUAUGCUCUAGUGUGUUAUUUGAUCGUAUGUAUGUGUAUGGCGGGCGAGGCCCAGAGACUAACGGUGCCUAAGGGAAACAGAUCUGUAUACCGAGCGGGGCUCGAUGCCAGGUGGGACCUGAUGCCAGGCGGGGCCUGAUGACGGAUGGGGUCCGAUGGCGGGCGAGGCCCAAUGCAGCGGGCGGGGGCCCAAUAUGUUGUUAUGUACUCAGGGUUAUAUAUGGCAUGUUUGGAUCAGUAGAUAUGUAUGGUAUGUGGUGGGUUGGGGAACUCACUAAGCUUCGUGCUUACAAUUUUUAGUUUUGGUUUAAGGUACUUACGAUAGCGGAAAGAAGAGCUCGGGAUGAUCGCAUGGCACGCAUACCAAGGAGUUUAGCUGGGAUGUUUACUUUGAUAAAAUGAAUAAGUGUUUUGGAAAAAAAUACUCUGAUUUGUCAUAUAACCCUUUCAGUAUGUUUGAAAUGAUCUAACGAUCUGAAUUAGUAAUAUUUUUAAAGAAAUUUUUUGGUCAUGAUUUUUGGGAUGUUACAAAUAUAGUAAAAAACGGAGUUGGAAUGAAGAAGCUAUGAUCGUUAGAAGUUAGGAAGGUUUUGGGCUUAGUCUAGUACGUUGGGCAUACCUGGCAUCCUUGGUACGCUAGCGUACGUUAUCAGAACACAAACUAUAUUUUCGUGGUUUGAACCCUAUUUAAGCUCCUUAACUUCCCCAAACCCAAUCCACUCUCAGCCUCCACCUCUCACCCUCCCUUGAAACCCUAACCCUCGUUUGAGCCUUGUGAGCAAAAGAAGGUGUUCUUGAGUGCUUUGGAGUGUUCUUGGUGCAUCUUGGAGUAGAAUUAGCUCAUUAGAGAAGUGUUGGUUGCAUUGGAUCUUGUAGAUCUAGACUUUGUUCACCUUCAUCUUACUUCUAGAUGUAUAAAAAUUGAGUCUUGAUGAUGUAUUUAUUAGAUCUAGCUAGUUUUGGGUGUUAUGAGCUUUUGGUCACUUUAGUGCAUAAAAUUUAGAUCUUGGAAGUUUGUGACCUUGUUACGGAUAAAUUUGAAAACUUUAUUCAUCUAAAUAUUAUAUUGAUUCAAAUCUAAAGGUUGAAGACUUGGACUUAAUGGAUUAAGUUGAAAAAGAUGCACUUUUGGUCCCUUUGAGACUUAAAGACUAGAUCUUGGUUAUUUGGGCCAUUCUAAUGGAUAAAGUUGGAAACUUUAUCCAUUAUGGAGUUAUUAGGAGCCAUAAAAAUUUGAUUUUGGUCCUUCGUUUCCUUUUAUGCAUGAGUUGGUGGUCUUUUGAUAAAGUUAGAGAUUUAGGGCUUUGGGUUGGACACCAUUAAACCAUGCAGCGUCAUAAAGUCAGGAACUUUACGGCUUAGUACAUCCCAUAAGAAUCAUAUCUAGAAGUUCUACAUGUUGUCUUAAGGCAUUAAGAGGUUUGGAGAUGAUUAUGGGCUUUAGCGUUGUACGCUGUGUGAACAUACCUGAAUGGCUUUUUGGCCAUUUUUGGGCCUUGCAUUGUUGGGCCAAGUAUAGGAUGCAUAAAAUAGUAUUUUACCCGUUGUUAUGAGGAGAUAUGAACUAUGGGAAAUUGUCCUAAUUAUUAAUUCUGACAUCCCGAAUUUCAUGGCCAAAAAAGACCGAUUUGUAUAUGCUUAUUUAAAAAUCAGAGUCUCCUUUUUGAGGAAUAACAUUGCGAAAUUUGUUUCUAGAACACAUGAUAAUGAUAUUAUCAAGAAUUUCUGAAGAAAUAUAUACUUAUUUAUAUUAAGCCAUUGAGAUGUCAUCAUCAAUACAUAAACAUAAGCAUAACAAAAUAUUACAAGCCCUACAUUAAUUAAACUAGUGACAUAAUUCUCAUUGAAUCUCUCAGUAGAAUGUAUCUUUAAUAUCACUACAUGUGAUACAAUAAACUGAGUGGGUCAUAUUGGGAAACCUGGUGAGUACAUAGGGGUUUUAACCCAUAAUAAUAUAAUUACUAUGUUUAAUCUUCAAAUAAUUAACCAAAUUUCCCAACCCCAUUAUCUUCUUUAUUCUUAAGGAUCUACCCUAAGGAUCAUCUAUGCUCAUAGUAGUAGUUCAAGGAUUCCUCCAUGAUACUUGUCUGUAGGUAUUCUUCAAUAUUUAUUCCUAAGGAUUUGUCCUAAGGAAUAGGCACGAAGUCCAAAACUGCCAUGGUUUAUCUAAUAGACACUAAGUCCAUAGCCGCCAAUGCUCAUCUAUAUGGCACUAAGUCCAUAGCAGCCAAUGUUCAUCUAUUGGGUACUAAGUCCAUAGUUGCUAAUGUUCAUCUAUCGGGCACUAAGUCCAUAACUGUCAAUAUUUAUCUAUUGGGCACUAAGUCCAUAGUUGAAAGGGUUUAUCUCAUUUAUUGACAUCAUUAUUUUAGGUUGUCCACCCACAAUACAUGUAAAUGGGUUUUUAGAGUACAUAUAGUGAACACGUAGUUCAAAACCACCUACAGGUUGCGAGCAUGCUAGCGUUCCACUCGACUGUCUAGAAUAGUCUGUGGUUAUCAUUUAUAAUCUACUAGAUGACGUCAUCUUUAAUGUCAAGGCCUCUCAUCAUCUAUUUAAUCUUUCAUCUCUCACCAUCUAUAUCAUCUUUCAUUUUUCAUCAUCUACAUCAUCUUUCUUUUAUCCAUCUUGACCAAAUAUAUUUAUAGGUAUAAGAAUACAUAUACAGUUUAAAUUAAGUAAAACAUGUAUAAAUCAUUCAUCUAGCAUAUAUAUCAGGAACACAAGUAAUAGGCACAUAUAGCAUGUAUUUAUAUUAAAUAUUUCAUAUCUAAGUGUAAGAUGAAAGUAACUAUGCACUCACUUGUUAAAGUGACAAUUCAAAAUUCAGACAGCGCUUCGCUUCUAGCAACUGUCUUUUCCUUUGACGUAAACCUAGUAUUAUUAUCACUAAGUCUUAGUCUAAUAUUUAUUACGACUAAUUAUUAGUGUAUAUUCAUCAUUAAUUCAAAGUCUACUGAUCUAUAUCUGAUAAGAGACAACCAUGUAGGAUCAUAUUGGAGGUAGGGUCCGUUUGGUAUACAAAGUAUACUGUUUGGAAAUUCCACUUUAAACAUAUCACUAAAUCCAGCCUAGACAUCUUCCCCGUAUAUAGAUCAAUCAAUAUAACGACAUGUAAUCACUGAUACAUCAUGUUUAGAGGUUCAUAAUAACGAUAAUGAAUUUAAACAUAAGUUACACUUAAAGCUUAAUAGGUGUAUCUCAACUUACAUGGUUUCUAGCGAAAACUUAGAACUCCAUGGUCAGAAUUUCGUCGCUAAAUCUUUUUUCUAAAAAGAUUCUUGUAGCGCUUCAACGCUCACCUUACUAUACUAAAACUACAGAAAGAGAAGUCGAAUCACGAGGGACCGAAAUGCUCGAGGAUAAGAAGAAAAAGACUUUUGAAUCAAGAGAAUGGUGCAAGAAAUAUGAGAGCCUAGAGCCGCUUAUUUGGUGUAAUUGAAUUUUCAAAAACCAUCAUCUUUAGUUACUUAAAUGACCUUAUAUUUAUUUAAACGACUAAACACCCCUUUAUAAUAUUAUUUUGAAUAAAUUUAACGAUAUUUGUAUUGAACUAAUGUCUAAAGUACUCAACACUAGUCUUAUAACGAUCGCAUCGUUGAUACUUUUCUAAUGAUAUAUGCAUAUGUAUAUAUGUGUGUGUGUAUAUAUAUAUAUAUAUAUAUAUAUAUAUAUAUAUAUANUAUAUAUAUAUGUAUGUAUGUAUGUAUGUAUGUAUGUAUGUAUGUAUGUAUGUAUGUAUGUAUAUACGAUUUAUACUUUAUUUUAAUACGUAAAUAUGCUAUUAUAAAUUAUAACUCAUUCAUACGAACUCUGUUUUUGACGUUCUUUAUAUCCAUGCGUAGCUAUAGACGCGAUCUACAACUUUUGUUUAGACUCUGUCGGCUUAUUUUGACUUUAUUUUUUGGGAUAUAUACAGUAAAGUCCCAAUAUUUUCAUCGAUUUGACAAGAAAGUCCUAAACUUUAUUUUUUUGACAGUAAAGUCCAAAUUACCGGCAGUUUUUGACACUUUUACCCUUUUUUCCCGGUUAGCCGGUAAUUAGGACUUUUUUGUCAACAAAAUAAAGUUUAGGACUUUCUUGUCAAAUCGUCAAUUAGGACUUUACUGUCAAAAAAAUAAAGUUUAGGACUUUUUUGUCAAAUCGUUGAAAAUAUUGGGACUUUAGUGUAUAUAUAAUUUUUUUGGUUAGAAAUUUAAUGGUAUGAUACUCUUUAAGCAUAAGAGUUAUUGAAACCUUCUCUAAUCAGCUAGAUCCUAUUGAAAUCCUUUACGUUUGCUUCUUGAUAAAUCGUUUUUUUAAUCUCAACAAACAGACAUUGAAAAAAAUUGAGAUAAUCAAGAAAGAAAUAAAGAACCAGGGUUGUGUUGGCUUUUUGCAGUCUCAAAAAUGGAGAAAUUAGAAACCUAAAAAAACGAAAUUGCCUGGCUUUAUACAAACACAAACAACACAUGUCUAGUCAAAAGGGUGUGAAUGUGGAGAAAGGAAAGAAUGACAAUUUCGUUUUUUUUUUGGUUUCUUAUUUCUCCAUUUUUGGAGUUGCAAAAAGUCAACACUACCCUGGUUCUUUCUUUCUUUCUUUCUUGAUUAUCUCAAUUUUUUUCAAUGUCGGUUUCUUGAGAUUAGAAAAACGAUUUAAGAAGAAGUAAAACGUUAAGGAUUUCAAUACGAUCUAGUAGAUUAGUGAAUGUUUCAAUAACUCUUAUGCUUAAAGAGUAUUAUACCAUUAAAUUUCUAACAAAAAAAGUUAUAUAUACACUAAAGUCCCAAUAUUUUCAACGAUUUGACAAAAAAGUCCUAAACUUUAUUUUUUUGACAGUAAAGUCCUAAUUGACGAUUUGACAAGAAAGUCCUAAACUUUAUUUUUUUGACAAGAAAAUCCUAAUUACCGGAUAACUGGGGAAAAAGGGUAAAAGUGUCAAAAACUGCCGGUAAUUUGGAAUUUACUGUCAAAAAAAUAAAGUUUAGGACUUUCUUGUCAAAUCGAUGAAAAUAUUGGGACUUUACUGUAUAUAUCCCUUAUUUUUUUCGUCCAUAUUUGUAUAAGAUUAAUUGAUUUUUCUAAAAUCAUAACUCUCUCGUAAGGACUCCGUUUUUGGCAUUCGUUUUCUCAAAAUUAUUAUUUUAAAGAGUACUACGAUUUUCUUAUUGAUGACUUUAGUUAAAAGCAACCAUUCUCUUUGUAGCUUUUUACGUCACACAUUCCUUGUGCCCGGUUGACUUUUAUAUUUUAUAAAAAUCAUAUCUAAUUCAUACCGAGUCAGAUUUCUACGAAAUUUAUAUUUUCGGGUUCAGGAAGAUGUGUACUUUCAAAAUAUAAUNNNNNNNNNNNNNNNNNNNNNNNNNNNNNNNNNNNNNNNNNNNNNNNNNNNNNNNNNNNNUAUAUAUAUAUGAUUUGACGCACUUCUUUUUACGAUUUAUGGGCGAUCCAGGUGAUUUUUCGUAUUUUAUUAUAUUAUAAUAAUCAAGAAACAUAUAAUAUUCAUAUAAUUCUUCUUUCUUACGUCAAAUAGGUUUCAAUUGUUGACCGUACCUAUUAUUUUGGUUAAAAAUAUUUAUCCUAGAUAGUCUUCUAUAAAAAAAAAUCAUUUUUAACGAUUAUUAUAUAUUAAUUGACUUGCCCGAAUUUGCAUGUGUUACAAUUAUCUCCCCUUAGAAUGAUUACGUUACCGAAUCAUCAACAAAACAGAGUUUGUAUAAUGACUCUGUACGUUUCCUUUCGAUCCUAGGUGGUAAUCGUAACUCUUAUAUCCUUUCAAAUGAGUAUCAAACUCUAGGACUCCUUGACUGCUGGUGGUAUGCAAUCUUGCACCCACUCUUUAUCCUAUGUUGGACUUUCAAUCGUAGACUUCGAGUUACAAACUUAGACCUUAUUGGAGACCUCUACUUGUUCUUAAACAUACUUAGCUUAAGAUAAGGUAUUUACUUCGAUUACCGUAACACAUCGAUGAGACAUGUUCUAAUGACCUCCCGUCAUAUGAUGCAAUGCUUAGAGUUAGGUCUUUUUGAGUCAGAUUCUAGAAUGGAAGAUACUUUCCUUCAUGUUCUAAUGUGUUAUAAUCAUAUUCUAGCAAGUAACACUUCUAGCUAUAAGUUUCUUACUUUCACGGUGAUUGUGAUACUUCUAUUGAUUGCUUAGAUUAUAUUUCACUUUAAUCUUCUGGCUUAAGUCGGAUGCUACAUCGAACUUGGUCCUCUGAACCACGUACAAUACUUAUCUUAGCCGAACUCGAUUUGAUAUGACUACCAGUGUCAGAAUAACAAUCAUCUUCUUAGUCAUUACCGAAAUGAUGGUAAUGACAAAAACAAACGAAAAAAACAUAAUUACUAAUACCUUAGUAACCUUGUGACUUUCCCUGAUCUAAGUGUGAGUCCUGUGCUUUCGAUAGUAUAGGCCUCUACUACCUUUCACACAUACUCAUACUCGUCCCAAGGAUUGUCUCAUAGUCCACUAAGUUAUUUUCACAAAAACAAUUUAACACAUACGAAUGUGUCCAAACAAUCAUAAAUUUUCCUAGACGUUACUAGGACUUCUUCCAUGCAAAUCAUCAACAAUAAUUAUGCUUCAACUUGGUUGGUGGUGGAAACGCCAUACAAUGGGAUGAGUUUAGGAAUUACACCAAAAGUUCUAUCAUCCCACUAAUUGAAGGUGUACUUUAGAUGUACCGUACUCCUCUAGACAUACUUUUAUUUUGUUAGAUGUAUUAUAAAGGCAAGGUACCACUUUAUAGGUAUUACUUUACGAUAUCUUCCAAUAUGUAUCAUUCACUAUCGUAAGCCUCCUUAUUUCUUUCAUUUGCUUAGUCUAGCAUGGUUCACAUCAUUGCCUGAAUUUAUUCUAUCGUGAUAGGUUCGGGUGUAGGUGCAAUGACCGAUGCAUGACCGAUCACAUGCUUAUGCUCAGGUUGUCAUCUUAUGUUGAUAUUUCCUAGUCCGCUACGAGUCUUCACCAUGACAUUUGUACACCGAAGCCGGCGUUCGGCGUAUUUGGACGAGGAUAUAGAUAAACAAGGUUUAGAUGUGUAAUCCUCUUUAUUACUCUGAAAAGUUACAUGCCAGUUCUAAUAAUGUAAUUAAACGUUUAGAAAUCUGAACACAUAAAUUUCCAGAUCUGGUCGGCGAUAGGCCAUACAUCCGAUCAAACAAUAGCAUCAUAAAGCAUAUAAGGCAUCUUAUAACAUAAAUCAUUUAUCACAUAAAAGCAAUUUAGGAAUCUUUCCUAAAUAAAGUAGUACCCGUGUCUAUUUAGGCAUACUUCCUAAAUAUAGCAGACACUGAUCUCACAAUCAUUGCUUAGCAUUCUAAGUUUAAGUGUAGAAAUUUCCUGGAAUUCCUAGUUCGCUUAAACUAAUGCUUUGAUACCAACUGUGACAACCCCAAUUUCACGGCCAGAAAAGACCGAUUUGUUUAUGUUUAUUUAAAAAUCAGAGUUUCCUUUUUGAGGAAUAACAUUGCGGAAUUUGUUCCCAGAAAACAUGAUAAUGAUAUUAGCAAGCAUUUCCGAAGAAAUGUAUAUAUAUAUAUAUAUAUAUUAAAGAAAUGAAUCUUAGGAAUAGUGAACUUUCUAAUUUUUUGGCAGAAUUGGUCCAUGUACUUUUGUUGGGCUUCAAAGUUAGGAAUAGUAAAUUUGGAUGUUUUUUCGCAACUUUGCUCCUCAUUCUUUAGUCAUUUUGACACUUUUGGUCAUUGCAAUCAAUAUUUUUACACUUUUUAGGAACCUUUUAAUAUUUAAAGUUUGGCCACAAAACUUUAACGGUUUGACAACUUUGAUCCCUUUUCUAAAAAGUUGCUAAUUCUUACCCCUUUAAUUGUUUUGCUAUUUUGACACUUCUGGUCCUUGCAGUCAAAACUUUUACAUUUUUUUCAUAAAAACAUGAAAAAACGGUCCGGGGCAAAGCCCGAACUUUUCAUCCUUGCACUUUCUACGUCUGUCAUAUUUAUCGAUUCUGAAACAACAUUGAAAGCUUCUGGCCCCCGUGUAACGGGGGUAACCUUUCUAGUUUGUAUUAAGACAUUGGGAUGUAAUCGUCAAUACAGAAACAUAAGCAUAACGAAAUAUUACAAUCCUUACAAUAAUUAAACUGGUGACAUAAUUCUCCAUGACUCUCUCAGCAAAAUGUAUCUUUAAUAUUGCUGCCUGUGAUAUAAUAAACUGAGUGGGUCAGGUUAAGAAAGGUGGUGAGUACAUAGGGUUUUCAACCCAUAACAGUGUAAUUAAUAUGUUUAAUCAUCAAAAAAUUAACCCAAUUUGUCAUCCCCAUUAUCUUCUUUAUUCUUAAGGAUCAUCUAUGCUGACAAUACUAGUUUAGCGAUUCCUCCAUGAUACUUGUCAGUAGGUAUUCUUCAGUAUUUAUUCCUAAGGAUUUGUCCUAAGGAAUAGGAACGAAGUCCAUCGCUGCCAUUAUUUAUCUAAUAGGCACUAAGUCCAUAGCUGCCAAUGUUAUGUGUUAGGCUCUAAGUCCAUAGUCGCCAAUGUUCAUCUAUAGGGCACUAAGUCCAUAGCUGCCAAUGUUCAUCUAUUGGGCAUUAAGUUCAUAGCUGCCAAUGUUCAUCUAGCAUGCACUAAGUUUAUAGUUGCCAAUGUUCAUCUAUCGAGCACUAAUUCCAUAACUGCCAUGAUUUAUCUCCUUUAUUGAAAAUAUUAUUUUAGGGAGUCCACCCACGAUACAUGUCAAUGGGUUUUUAGAGUACAUCUGGUGAACACUUAGUUCAAAAUCACCUACAGGUUGCAAGCCUGCUAGCGUUCCAUUGGAUUGCCUAGAAUAGUCUGUGGUUAUCAUCUAUACUCUACUAGAUAACGUCGUCUUCAAUGUCAAGGCUUCUCAUCAUCUAUAUCAUCUUUCAUCUCUCAUCAUCUAUAUCAUUUUUCUUCUACCUAUCUUUACCCAAUAUAUUUAUAGGUAUAAAAAUACAUAUAAAGUUUAAAUCAAGUAAAACAUGUAUAAAUCGUUCAUCUAGCAUAGAUAUCAGGAACACAAGUAAUAGGCACAUAUAGCAUGUAUUUAUAUUACAUAUUUCAUAUCUAAGUGUAAGAUGAAAGUAACUAUGCACUCACUUGUUAAAGUGACGAUUCAAAAUUCAGACAACGCUUCGCUUUAAGCAACUGUCUUUUCCUUUGACGUAACCUAGUAUUAUUAUCACUAAGUCUUGGUCUAAUAUUUAUUGCGACUAAUUAUUAGUCUACAUUCAUCAUUAAUUCAAAUUCUACUGAUCUAUAGCUGAUAACAGACAACUAGGUAGGAUCAUAUCGGAGGUAGGGUCCAUUUGGUAUACAAAGUAUACUGUUUGGAAAUCUCACUUUAACACUAGUAUAAAAAUGACCUACAGUUACACUUUUCAAAAAAUGGCAAGUCACACUUUUUAUUAAAAGUGUGACCAAAGGUCAAUAAAAAAAUUUUGAUACUGUUUUUGGAUACAUUUAAAUUAGUUUGUGUGGCCAUUGUAUAGAUAAUCAAAACUUUAACCACAUUUAAUUAUAACAAAUGUGACAAUUAUUAGCCAUAGUCGGACAAUGUGGCCAUAUGUCACCAUCAAACACGUAUACUUAUUAACUUUAUGAUAUUCUUUAUAAGAGACAAUAGAUAAAUAUAUGGUCACAUGAGGCAAUUGCAUAUGUUUGUGUAUCACAGUGUGAUUUUGGACAUAUGAACUCCAAUGUAGCUAACAAGUGAUACAUAUGGCCACAUUAAAUAUUUGUGUGUCCAUAUGUUGGUGUAUACUAGUGACUUAGUAAAAGAAAGAAAACAAGUUACUUUUAGUGGUUUAUUGUCAUGUGACUCUUAUUAUGUCUGUCAAUAUAUGAUGGACUGGGUUUAAAAAAUAUAUUGUGAGUGUAAGUUGCAUUUGGUUAUGGUUACAAUUAUUAUGUGUGUUUAUAGGUAAAUCUAGUUAUAAAAGAAAUUUAAUGUCUGAUCAGUAAAACUAUAGUAUGGUCAUUGAAUGUGUGACUAUGAUUAUAUAAUGGUCAUUCUUUUGGUAUUAGUGUAUGUCAAAAGUUAAAGAAUAGUCUUCACCAAAAUACCCUUUAUUGACUAGUCAACCAUUUGACUUAUAUAAAGCCAUUGAGUCCCUCCCAAACUGCAUAAGGGAUUAUUAAAAAUUGGGAUAGUUUUUGCAAAAAAAUUUCAUGUUGUUCGUUUGAAGUCUAUUGGAAUUGCUUACACCAAAUGAGUUUUAGUGAUAUAUUACUUUGACUUUUGGGACCUAUUUUCGUCAUAUAAUAGUUGGAGUGGUGUCAACAUGUACAAAAAGAAAUGGUUAAAGUUGCAUCUGAAGGGCUCCUUUAAGUCGACCAAAAUACCCUCCAGAGGGGGACACAAAUCGUUAUAGGUUUUGUACCAAUUUCUACCUCAGAACCCCAAAAAAUGUAAAAAGACCAUAAUCCCAUUUUUGAAGUAAAACUGUCCUAAUUUUCUUAUAUUCAUUUUAGACCAAAAAAUCCAAACCAAAACAGUUUCCCAUAGAGAAUACCAACAAUAACAUUCAACUUUAAAGAGCACUUUUUUCGCCUUAUGAUCAUACAAUUCGAAUAAAAAACAAUGAAAAAGCCAAUGAUUAUGUAGAUAAAUUGUAAUUAAUAUGAAUUGGCAGCAAUGUGCUGGAAAUAGUACAAUUAAAAGGAUAUAAACAUAUAAUAAAGUCUUAUAAUUAUAUAUACAUACCAAUUUUUUUGAACUAAAAAAAGUAAUAAGGGUAAUAUUUUCAAUUUUUAGACAAACACCAAUCAAACAAAGGAGUUCCAAUUCUAAUUUGACAUCAACCAAUUGAUAAUUUUUCCAUGGAUGAACUGGUUUCCAGGAAAACUUCCAAUACACUUUUUUUCUCUUUUAGGCAACUAACUUUGGUGUUCCGAGCACCAGACAACAAAAAUUAUGAGAUUGAAUGCAUGAAUGUUGAGGGAUUGAAGGGAAUGGAAUGAGUUUUACAAGGCUAUGAAGACAUGCAUAUGCCCAAGAGCAAAUUAGUAGUUUAACACAAAAAAGAUGCAAAUGAGCAAAAUACUAUUUUUUUCUAGUUAAAAAUUAGAUCAAAUCGAGCAAAAUGACCACAUAUAUAGUAUUCUUCACAUAAGGUUCCGGUCUCGAGACAUGGUUGUGUCCAGCAUCCUCGACACUUGGUUGUUGGGGCAGUUGAUCUUCAUUUUCACUACAAAAAAUCGAUAGAAGGUUAUAAACAUGGUUGUAGAACUUAUAUUUUUGUAUGAUCUUGACAAUACAAAAUUAAAUGUUUAGAUAUCCAUGAAGCUUUUGUGGUUACAAUGUUUUAAUUAUACUACAAUUUAAAUAAUUAGUAAAUCAAUGAUACAAUACUAGUGAUAAAGUAUACAAAUCUGAAAAAAGAACCAAAGGGCAGAGAAGUCUUUUCAUAUUAAAUUUCAAGUUGGUUACUUGUUCUGUUUCAGAGUAAAUGGGACGUUGGUAGUUCGAUUAAGAGAAAAACAUUAGACCCACAUCAUAAAUUCAUCAUGCAAUGAGGUUCUUUAUUACAUCAUCCCACUUUCUAGGCCAAGACAAUGAAUACAUUACAACAUUAGACAUGGAAUUGCCUCAGACUCAUUACAAAAUGCUACAUUCCUAAUCUAGACAAUUCAACUAUUAAAGAGAAUUUCUUGUUUAUUUUGAGCUAAUUAUAUACUCAACAUCGUUUGUUGGUUUGAACUUGAACCACAACAAUGUCUAAUAUAGACAACUUGUUCAAUAUUAUGUUAAUGAUCCACCCCCAUGGAAUAUUGGUUGUUAGAAACACUUCAAAAUAUCCACAUUCUUGAAAUUAAGAAUAUCAUGGGAUUGUGUUGCUUAAAUCCUAAUGAAUCUACAUCAGAAUCAAGAACAUCAUGAACCAUGUAUUUUUUUCAUUUAUAUACAUCAGCGCCAUUAUUAUUUUUGGCUUUGUGCGUGUCUUCAUCUACUGACGAACAAAAUGAAGUCAAGAGAGGUUUGUUAGUGAUUACCUGGGUCAAGGAAAAAGAAGACGAGAACAAAUAUGUUGGUAUAAUGAAUGAUAGAGAUGUAGAUGUCAGUAAGAUGUCUGAUGACAAGUAGGAGUUCUGAUGGACGUUGACGAUCAGUGUGACGACGACGAAGAGAAUUGAUAUUUAUGGCAGAUACGACGAGGUAUGAGGUGUGGGACGGUAAUGGUGAGGUCUGAUAUGUGCAACAAAGACGACAAUGUUUGAUAAGUAUACGAAUGGAAUUAGGUCGUCAGUGAUGGCCAUGGUAGUCUAUCACUAAGGAGGUAGUGUGAUUUAGGCGAGGAAGACUACAAAGUUGGAUAGAGAAAGGAAGAUAUAAUUAGUUAGGGCAUUCUUGGCUAGACGGAGAAAAAGAGGAAAAACGAGGCAAAAUAAAAAAUAAGUAUGAGAUUUUUAAAUUUUAGUGAAUUUGUAACAACAAAAUAUUCUUAAAAAACGAUAUAUUAAAUAAUAUUAUUAGAAAAAUGUUGAUUAAUAUUGAUUAUAUAAAAUAGAUAAAGUUAUAUGAUUUUUCUAUGGUUUGUUAGAAUUCAUGUGUUGAGAACAAUUAUUAAAAUGUUUACAUGUUUGUUUUUUGUUAUUUCAACUUAUUGUGCGGUUGGUUUUUGACAAAUGCAAAAUAACUUUUGAGCAUUUUUUAAUUUAUUUUUCAUCAAACCCAAUGUCAUCAUUUAUCUUCAUCACCAUAUUUAAUGUUUCAAAAAAUAAAAUUUUUUAUCCAAGCUUUCUAUAUACUUUUUAUAUAUGUACAUGUUCGUGGGUACAUGGAUGUGUGCAUGGGUGUACAUGUAUAUAAAAGUGGAUUUGGGUAGGGGUGGGUGGAUAUUGAGAUUUGGGAUAUGGUAGGGUGUAUUUUUUCGUUUGUAGGUAGGGGUGUGUGGUUGUUAUGUUUGAGGUAUGAUGAGGCUGAGGGGGAGGAUAGGGGUGGGGUGGGGUGAGGUGUGUAUGGUAGGGGUGACACUUAUCAAUUAGGAAUAGGUGUAAGAUUCUUGUGUGUAUGGGUGUAGCGUAGGUAGGCUUAUGGCUUAUGGAUCAAUGGUUUAUGGCUAAUGGCAUAUUCUUAGGCAUUAUAGUUUGUGGCUUAUAUCUUAUGUCCUAUAUCAUAUGUCUUAUGUCCUAUGUCUUAUGUCCUAUGUCCUAUGUCUUAUGUCCCAUGUCCUAUGUCUUAUGUUUUAUGUCUUAUGUCUUAUGGCUUAUGUCUUAUGGCUUAUGGCUUAUGACUUAUGGCUUAUGGCUUAUGUCUUAUGGCUUAUGGCUAGGGCUUAAGGCUUUAAGUUAGAACUUAAGGCUUAAGGUUUAAGGUUUAAGGUUUAAGGCUUAUGGCUUAAGGUUUAGGGCAUAUAUGUUUUUAAAUUUAUGCUUAAUAAUCAAGGCUUCCAAAUUAUGGUUUAGGGGUUAAGGCUUAGGACUUGUGGGUUAUGACUUAAGGCUUAAGGCUUAAUGCUUAUGGAUUAAGGCUUAAGGCUUAUGAUAUAUGGCUUAUAGCCUGUGGCUUAAUGCUUAAGGCCUAUAGCUUAUGGCUUGAAACCCAUUCCUAUAUUCCCACACUAAUGCCUACCUCACUCUACCUACACACCACCCACCCCACACUUACCUACCCAUUAAACCCUUGUGGGUUAUGACUUAAGGCUUAAGGCUUAAUGCUUAUGGAUUAAGGCUUAAGGCUUAUGAUAUAUGGCUUAUAGCCUGUGGCUUAAUGCUUAAGGCCUAUAGCUUAUGGCUUGAAACCCAUUCCUAUAUUCCCACACUAAUGCCUACCUCACUCUACCUACACACCACCCACCCCACACUUACCUACCCAUUAAAGGAACUUUACCCCCAUCCAUACCCAUACCACCACCUUACCCCAUAUCCAUAUUCCCAAACACACCCACCCUCAUCCUAUAUAACCUACACUACCAACCCACACACCACCCAACCGCCCUACCUUUAACUCACCUCAUACUUCCAUGCGAUAGACACAACUUAUAUACCACUACCUACUACCCUCCCCAUACACAUACACAUCACCACAACUACAUCCCCACCCCACCCUUACACCAACCAACCCCAUUCACUCACCCACCCUUACACUUACACCCACAACUGCAUGCAUUAUUCUAUAAAUAUGGUUUAAGUUUCAUUGUCAUAUUUAACCCUUCAAGUUGAGUUUAUAUCUANNNNNNNNNNNNNNNNNNNNNUAUAUAUAUAUUCAAUUUUAGUUUUAUAUAUUUUGAGUUUAUUUAAUUAUUAUUAAAUUUUAAAUGUGUUUUCUUUCAUAUUAAUUUAAAAUUUCACCAUAAACCCACCCACACACCUAUUCCUAGCCCACCCCACCUCACCCCUACACUACCCAUCCUAAUAUCCACAACCAAUACACAAUACACACCAAUUUUGACUCACCCACUCCACCUAACCCCUACACUACCAAGCUAAAUGUGAGAUAUAGUUUUAUAUGUGAAGUCUUAAGAACUACAAAAAUAUAUUUGAGAUUUAUUUUUAAUCAUAACAAAAGUAUAUUCUCUACUUAUGUGUCUUAUAUAUAUGGUUAAUUUGUUGAAAAAUUAUUUAAUAAUAUAUUUCAAUCAAAAACUUUGAGAGUUUAAGAAUUUUAGUUUUUUUCAUAUAGUAUCAAAAGUAAAUACAAUAAUUUGAAGAUUGAGAGUUUGAAAAUUUUAGUUUUUUACAAAUUUUUAAAAUUAAAUCUGUAAUUUCAUGUUACCAUUCUCAUUUUCAUUUCCCCCUUCCCAAUAUCAAUUUCCCCCCUUUAUAGACCUAAUUCCAUUUUGGAACACACCUGAUGCGCUCCUCCUUCUCUUUUCUACCCUCUAUCUUCUCUCUAACAUAAAAUCAGUCGCAUGCAACAAAUAUUGUCAGUUUACACACCACGACCUUGCUUCCUUGGUUUGAUUUUGGUUGUCCAAUCGACUUUUCUUCUCUUCUUUGACUCAAUGUAAGUAAUUGCUUCUGGUCUAUUCUUCACGAUUUGCUCAUGAUUGUGGCUGAUUCACCCUCUCCGAAUUUCUAUGUUGAUGACCCAUGUGCUUAGUUUUAAGCACAUGAAGGCUCUUAAAUUUAUGGCUUGGAUAACUUUAUUUUUCCAUCUUUAGUUAUAAGCUUAUGUCUUUGAUCAUGAUUUAUAUUGUCAGAUGCAGGUGAGAUGCCUUCAGAAAUUCGACACUUUUCAGCUCUCUUUUGAUGGAUUUUUGUGGUGUCCGAAUUUCUAUGUUGACGACCCAUGUGAAAAUGUCACCAGAAUGUUAGUAAUGUACACCAAAAUUUUGAGGUUUUUACAUUUAAAAAGAAUAUGUGGCUUAGGUUGUGACUUAUGAAAUUGAUGAUUUUGUAAUUGAAAGAAUACAAGCAAUAUGUUCUACAACAUCGUGACUAUUUUCUUUUUCUAUUAUCCAGGGAGAUGCAGGUCGAAGAAAAGAGAAUUGAGACUGAAAAAGUGAGACUUCACGGUCUCCUUCAAUUCAAUAAAUACCCUUAGCGUCUAUCGAAUCGAGCAUGACAAAGCAAAUGAUUUGGGUGGCUUACUUUGAAUACUAAAUAUUCAGGUUUUAAUUUUUGAUGUAUGCCAUUUUGGUAUUUCUUUUUUAUGUAGCUCAUAAUUAUCAAUCUAUUAAUACUGAAUCUUAAUUUCAAUAAUGCUCCACAUACAUCAAGUUGCUCCUCACACCUUCCACUUCCAGCAAGGCAAAACAGAUGCCUCCUUCUAUGGGGAACUAGAUUGUUGUAUCUGAGGCAUUUUGGUAUGUUAUAUAAUUAAUUGAUACAACAUGAAAGCAGCAUGAUGUGAUUUUGUGGAUAAAACUCUAUUAAUUGCGCUAUUUAUCAUCUAUUAACCUUGAUUUGAUCAGAUGAUACUUGGAUAAAUUGUAAAGCAAAAGAAAAUUACAUAAUAAUUGAAAUUAGAGUAAAUGGAAUAUAAUUUUGGAUAAUUGAACGUAAAUAAAUGGUUUUUUAUAAACAUACUUACCCUAUUUAAAUACAUAUACAUAUGAGUAAAUUACAUAAAUAGUCCCUUUAAUAUAAUGGGAGUUAAAAGGUCAGUCCAACUUUUGAUUUCCUUACAUGGGCAAUCCCCAUGAUCUUAAUUUGUUGUGUAUUUAGUCCAUUUAACCUUCCAACCUGCUUGUUCUUGUACACUUUUACAUAUAAACUAACCAUUUUUCUGUUUAUUAUUUCAAGUUUUUAACUACUUGGCUAUGAAUCGUUUUUAAAAUGACCAUUUUUCCCUUGAAUUAAAACUGAAGAAAAAAAAUAAAAAGGUUCCAGUGACCAAAAUUAUAACUUUCUCUUAAUUUUGACCAUAAGAACAAGAGUUGUUCUUGGUGCUACAUGACAUUAAUUUGAUUUUUUUUUAUCAGACUCGAACUAUUUACCAUCUUCAGUUAUUCAGUUUUUGAAUAUGUCUGCAAGGAUAUCAUUUAGGAACCAACUAUAAAUUAUUAUAAUAUAAGUUGAUCGAGGAAGAGGGGAAGCUUACUAGGCUUCAAUGACUCAGGUUCAUAUCUUAAAGUUUUGGAAUUUUCUUUUGGCAGACCGGUAAAAUUGGGUCGUCUGUCACCAGAACUUUGAGAGCAACUUGCUCAAUCGGCGAGUUCUCGUCUGACUGAUGGGAGGAGGGUCCAUCGAUUUGGUGUUCCAUACUCAAGGUUGUUGGUAUGAAUUCACAAAUCCCUUGAAAUCCUUUAUCAUGAAUUUAACAUUGGAUCUUCUGAUUCUUUAACAAUCAAAGUUCAAAUGAUCGGGAUAUGUAAUUCAACUCUUCUUUUUUCCUGAUUUUUGGUUGAUUUAGGUUUGAAUUUUUGUUAAUUCCGGAAUUAGGUGCAACUUCCGUCUUGCUAAGACAUUUGGUUCCGUCUCUUCAAUGCGAUCAACACCUCCUAGAAUUUGUCAUAUGGUUGUUUCUAGGGUUUAAAACUAUUGAUUUGGUAUGUAUAUUGUAACAUCCAUAAAAUUCAUGAAAAUUUAAAACUUUCUCAAGCAUUCAAAAACCAUUAUUUAUUACAAGAUGUUUUCAAAAUAAUUCAUAACAGAGUAAACCAGAAAUCAAAAUCAUAAAAUGUGAGGAGGUGCAAGAUCAUGCCUUGGCCUUCCCGCGAUCAUCUGAAGUACCUGAAACAAAAACCAAAAUUGUAAGCCCGAAGCUUAGUGAGUUCCCUCAAAAUACCAACGCCAUAAAAACCAUAACCAUAUCAUAAUAAACAACAUGCAUAUAGAGUCUACAGUAUGACUGGACCGCCCUCACCGGGCCUUCAAUCUGUCUGGCCCACUCUCAGAAAGUUCAAAAUGUCUGGUCCGCCUCACCGGGCCUUCAGCGUGUCUGGACCGUUCUCCAGGCCUUCGGCCUGACGGAUAUGCCCUCAUGACCUGCAUUCUAUCCGGGCCGCCCUGGGUAUGUUGGCCUAAAGCACAAAGUAGGUCCACAACCCACCCCCAAUCAUACAAUCAAAACAUAGAUAACAAAUGCUAGCAUAUACAAACAAUCAAAUCAAUCUAACAAAUCACUAAUCAUAGCAUCAUCAUAUACAACAAGAUACCGAUCUAACCGGUCACUAACAUAGCAUCAUCCUAUAUACCAGGAUACCGACCUAACAGGUCACUAAGCAUAUCAUCAUGUAAUAACCAAGAUAUCAAUCCAAAAGAAGGGCCGACAUUGGUGCCUUCAACCCUGUUAGUAUAGUGAGGACAACCCACCUCACAAUGUCGAUCAGAACUGAAAUAUCAAACUCCCGAAACACAGCUCCAAACACCAACACCUACAACCACCAAUGAUCCACUUCCAUAAAUUCCCAAAUUACCAAAAUACCCUCAGAAGUCAAACUGGUCAACCCUUGGUCAAAUUCAAAGUCAACGGUCAAGGUCAACCGUCCAUGUUGACCCAACUCGUCGAGGGGUGUUUCUAUACAUGCUCGUGCCCGGAACACUUGAGGGCUCGGUUUGCGCUGAACCAGCUUCGCCUGGGAGCGAAGGAUUGGUGGAAGUUCACGACAGCACACUAUUCUCCAGCAGAGCUUGCUGCGGUGACCUAGGAGAGGUUCACCACCAUGUUUCACGAUGAGUACAUUCCCCCGGUGGAACGGGAUCGGUUGGCACAAGAGUUUUUGACCCUCAAGCAGGGUACGGAGUCUGUUACGGUUAUUACCAGGAUGUUUCAUGAGAGGGCGAUGUUCUGCCCUAAGCACGUGUCUACUGAGCAGGCACGUAUGAGCCGUUAUUUGAGUAUUUUGAGGAGAGAUAUUCGGGAGUUCGUGGCGAACUCCUCGUACCGGACAUUUGCCGAGCUUCAGGCAAAUGCCCGGAAGAGGGAGAUCGAGCUAGAGACUCAGGCUAGGGAGGAGGCGGAGUCUCAGGGGAGGGAUCAGCGACCGGCACAGUCCCAGCCGGCAGCUAAGCGGGCCAAGCCCGCUGAUCCCAAANNNNNNNNNNNNNNNNNNNNNNNNNNNNNNNNNNNNNNNNNNNNNNNNNNNNNNNNNNNNNNNNNNNNNNNNNNNNNNNNNNNNNNNNNNNNNNNNNNNNNNNNNNNNNNNNNNNNNNNNNNNNNNNNNNNNNNNNNNNNNNNNNNNNNNNNNNNNNNNNNNNNNNNNNNNNNNNNNNNNNNNNNNNNNNNNNNNNNNNNNNNNNNNNNNNNNNNNNNNNNNNNNNNNNNNNNNNNNNNNNNNNNNNNNNNNNNNNNNNNNNNNNNNNNNNNNNNNNNNNNNNNNNNNNNNNNNNNNNNNNNNNNNNNNNNNNNNNNNNNNNNNNNNNNNNNNNNNNNNNNNNNNNNNNNNNNNNNNNNNNNNNNNNNNNNNNNNNNNNNNNNNNNNNNNNNNNNNNNNNNNNNNNNNNNNNNNNNNNNNNNNNNNNNNNNNNNNNNNNNNNNNNNNNNNNNNNNNNNNNNNNNNNNNNNNNNNNNNNNNNNNNNNNNNNNNNNNNNNNNNNNNNNNNNNNNNNNNNNNNNNNNNNNNNNNNNNNNNNNNNNNNNNNNNNNNNNNNNNNNNNNNNNNNNNNNNNNNNNNNNNNNNNNNNNNNNNNNNNNNNNNNNNNNNNNNNNNNNNNUAUGCCACAGAGGUGAUUCGAGGGUGUGUACUCGAGAUCUUCGGUGUAGAGUUUCCUAUUGAUUUGGUCCCGAUUGCGAUGGGGGACGUUUGUGUCAUUGUAGGCAUGGAUUGGUUGAGCAGAUUUGGAGCCGUUAUCGAUUGCGAGCGGCAGCUGGUGACUAUACGAGACCCAAGUGGGGGAGUUCUUACGGUGUACGGUGAGGGUACCCGUCCCGAUUCAGCGUUUUGUUCGGCUGCUAGAGCGAGACAGAGUCUACAGCAGGGUUGUAGUGGUUUUGUAGCAUAUGUGAUGGAUAUGCGAGUUGGUGCAGAGAGACCGAGUGUGGUUUAGGAGGUUCCGAUAGUGCGGGAAUUUCCGGAUGUCUUUCCCGAGGAGUUACCGGGUGUGCCUCCCGAGAGGCAAGUUGAGUUUCGCAUUGAUUUGAUUCCGGGGGCAGCACCUAUUGGCAAGGCGCCCUAUCACCUUGCACCUCCAGAGAUGCAGGAGUUAUCCUCGCUGCUUUAGGAGCUGUUGUGGAAGGGGUUUAUUCGGCCGAGCAGCUUGCCGUGGGGAGCACCGAUCCUUNUGGCCAAGGACUGCUCCAAGGGGUUUGCAGUGUGUUUCCACUGCAACCAGACCGGACACCGGAAAGCCGAGUGUCCGCUGCUUCGAGGGUCAGCACAGGGAGCUUCUCAGGGGAUUUCCCCUGCUGCGAUUAGAGCUUCGGAUAGUCGGCUGGUGAAGACCGAGACGCCGAAGGCNNNNNNNNNNNNNNNNNNNNNNNNNNNNNNNNNNNNNNNNNNNNNNNNNNNNNNNNNNNNNNNNNNNNNNNNNNNNNNNNNNNNNNNNNNNNNNNNNNNNNNNNNNNNNNNNNNNNNNNNNNNNNNNNNNNNNNNNNNNNNNNNNNNNNNNNNNNNNNNNNNNNNNNNNNNNNNNNNNNNNNNNNNNNNNNNNNNNNNNNNNNNNNNNNNNNNNNNNNNNNNNNNNNNNNNNNNNNNNNNNNNNNNNNNNNNNNNNNNNNNNNNNNNNNNNNNNNNNNNNNNNNNNNNNNNNNNNNNNNNNNNNNNNNNNNNNNNNNNNNNNNNNNNNNNNNNNNNNNNNNNNNNNNNNNNNNNNNNNNNNNNNNNNNNNNNNNNNNNNNNNNNNNNNNNNNNNNNNNNNNNNNNNNNNNNNNNNNNNNNNNNNNNNNNNNNNNNNNNNNNNNNNNNNNNNNNNNNNNNNNNNNNNNNNNNNNNNNNNNNNNNNNNNAUUGCGAGCGGCAGCUGGUGACUAUACGAGACCCAAGUGGGGGAGUUCUUACGGUGUACGGUGAGGGUACCCGUCCCGAUUCAGCGUUUUGUUCGGCUGCUAGAGCGAGACAGAGUCUACAGCAGGGUUGUAGUGGUUUUGUAGCAUAUGUGAUGGAUAUGCGAGUUGGUGCAGAGAGACCGAGUGUGGUUUAGGAGGUUCCGAUAGUGCGGGAAUUUCCGGAUGUCUUUCCCGAGGAGUUACCGGGUGUGCCUCCCGAGAGGCAAGUUGAGUUUCGCAUUGAUUUGAUUCCGGGGGCAGCACCUAUUGGCAAGGCGCCCUAUCACCUUGCACCUCCAGAGAUGCAGGAGUUAUCCUCGCUGCUUUAGGAGCUGUUGUGGAAGGGGUUUAUUUGGCCGAGCAGCUUGCCGUGGGGAGCACCGAUCCUUUUUGUGAAGAAAAAGGAUGGUUCGCACCGAAUGUGCAUAGAUUAUCGAGAGUUGAACAAGCUAACGGUCAAGAACCGUUAUCCUUUGCUGAGGAUUGAUGAUUUGUUCGAUCAGCUGCAGGGAGCAUCUUGGUUUUCCAAGAUUGAUCUAAGAUCUGGAUAUCAUCAGAUGAGGGUGCGUGAGGAGGAUAUCCAGAAGACCGCGUUCAGGACUCGUUAAGGGCAUUACGAGUUCGUGGUGAUGCCAUUCGGGCUCACCAAUGCGCCUGCAGCGUUCAUGGAUCUCAUGAACAGGGUAUGCAGACCGAUGCUGGAUCGAUCAGUGAUUGUGUUCAUUGACGACAUUUUGGUGUAUUCGAGAUCCAGGGAGCAGUAUGAGGAGCAUUUGCGAGAAAUCCUCAGUGUGCUGAGAUCGGAGAGGCUUUAUGCCAAAUUCUCCAAGUACGAUUUUUGGUUGCGAGAGGUGCAGUUCCUUGGUCACCUCGUUAACCAAAAGGGGAUCUUGGUCGAUCCGGCCAAGAUCGAGGCGGUGUUAAGCUGGGAGGUGCCGAAAUCUCCUUCCGAGAUCAGGAGUUUUCUAGGGUUGGCCGGCUAUUAUCGGAGGUUCAUCAGAGAUUUCUCCAAGAUUGAUGUUCCUCUCACCAGGUUGACCCGGAAGGGUGUGGUGUUCAGCUGGGGCCCAUAGCAGCAGGCCUCAUUUGAGACUCUUCACCAGAGAUUGUGCGAAGCCCCGGUGUUGGCUCUUCCAGAGGGAAUGGAGGACUUCGUAGUGUAUUAUGACGCAUCGAUAUCUGGGUUGGGCGUGGUGUUGAUGCAGAGAGGGCAUGUGAUCGCGUACGCAUCAAGGCAACUGAAGCCCCAUGAGGCAAGGUAUCCCACCCAUGAUCUAGAGUUGGGGGCUGUGGUGUUCGCCCUCAAGAUUUGGCGCCAUUACCUGUAUGGGGUUCGGUGUACGAUAUACACGGACCACAAGAGUUUGAAGUAUUUGAUGGAUCAGCCAAACCUAAACAUGCGACAGAGAAGAUGGUUGGAUGUAGUAAAGGAUUAUGAUUGUGAGAUCCUAUACCACCCGGGCAAGGCUAAUGUGGUAGCCGACGCCCUGAGUCGUAGGGCAGAGAACGCCCUGAUUCGGGAUAUUUGUAUGAGAUUGACGAUGAUAACUCUGGUGUUGGACACCAUCAGAGGGGCUCAGGCUGAGGCAGUAAGACCGGAGAACCGUAAGAGAGAGCAAGUUAUCGGUCAGGUGUCAGAGUUCGUAACCGAUAGCAGAGGGCUUAUGACCUUUUAGGGUUGGAUUUGGGUACUGUUUGUUGGAGGAAUGCGUACCAUCUUGAUGGAGGAGGCGCAUAGAUCGAGAUUCUCGAUCCAUCCCUGGGCCACUAAGAUGUUUCUGGAUCUUAAGAGAGAGUAUUGGUGGCCCUAUAUUAAGAGAGAUGUGGUGUGGUUUCUUGAGAGGUGCCUAAUCUGUCGUAGGGUUAAGGCCGAACAUCAGAGACCGCAUGGUAUGUUGCAACCACUGGAAAUCCCGGAGUGGAAAUGGGAGCAAAUAUCCAUGGAUUUUAUCACCAAAUUGCCGAAAACGGCGAGGGGUGUCGAUGCGAUUUGGGUGAUAGUAGACCGUUUGACAAAGAGUGCUCACUUUCUCGCCAUUAGUGAGAGCUCUUCUGCGGAGAAGUUAGCAGAGGUAUAUGUGAAAGAGGUGGUAUCGCGGCAUGGGGUGCCGAUCUCGAUUGUGUCAGAUCGAGAUGUACAUUUCACUUCCAGAUUUUGGAAGAAAUUCCCUGAGGAGUUGGGUACGAGGCUGCAUUUUAGUACCGCAUACCACCCACAGACUGACGGUCAGAGCGAACGGACGAUCCAGACGCUCGAAGACAUGCUCCGAGCAUGCGUGUUGGAUUUUGGCGGAAGUUGGGACACGUAUUUGCCCUUAGCGGAGUUCUCCUACAAUACCAGCCAUCAUUCGAGCAUUGGAAUGCCACCUAUUAAGCUGUUGUAUGGGAGGAGGUGUCGGACUCCCAUUUGUUGGGGAGAGGUAAGGCAACGAGUGAUGGGUAGCACGAAGAUUGUGCUUCAGACGACAAAGCAGAUACAGCGGGUCAGGCAGAGAUUGUUGACCAUUCAGAGCCGCCAGAAGAGUUAUGCGGAUAGGCGACGAUCCGAGCUUGAGUUCCAGGUUGGUGAUUAUGUUCUCCUGAAGGUAUCUCCUUGGAAAGGAGUGAUUCGAUUCAGGAAGAUGGGCAAGCUAGGGCCCUGGUAUAUUGGGCCGUUCAGAGUAAUCGCGAGGGUGGGCAGGGUAGUGUAUCGCCUGGAGCUACUUGCGGAGUUGGAGCGGAUUCAUAACACCUUCCACGUGUCUCAGUUGAGGAGGUGUAUAGCCGACGAGUCGGNNNNNNNNNNNNNNNNNNNNNNNNNNNNNNNNNNNNNNNNNNNNNNNNNNNNNNNNNNNNNNNNNNNNNNNNNNNNNNNNNNNNNNNNNNNNNNNNNNNNNNNNNNNNNNNNNNNNNNNNNNNNNNNNNNNNNNNNNNNNNNNNNNNNNNNNNNNNNNNNNNNNNNNNNNNNNGAGCUAUUUCAGGGAUGAGACUUCGAGGGCGAAGUCUGAUUCAAGUGGGGGAGAAUUGUAACAUCCGGAAUUUCAGGUAUUAUAUUUAUUCAUUUUAUUUCAAGUUUUGUGGAAGAACUCGGCGAGUUGGUGCGUAGACUCGCCGAGUAGAGACGCGAUUUCUCACCCGGAUUAAUGACCGGACUCGACGAGUCGCAUUGGUGGACUCGGCGAGUCCGCGCUGUUUAAUGAAACCCUAAUUUCUCGGGUUUGGGACCUAUUUAUAGGGCCUUAUGGCCGUCAUUUGUGCUCACCAGCCCCCAGAGCGAAACCCUAGUGAGCUUGAGCGAUUUGAGUGAGAGAAGGAGCCAUUGUCGACCUUGGAAGUGUUGUUUAGCAAGGAAAAGGAAGCUCUAGCCAAGAGGAAGCAAGAGAGUUAAUUUCCUAAAGAUCUGAGGUCCAGAACAUCACGUUUGAGGUACUUUUUUUGAACCAUUUUCUGUUGUGGUGAUGUUCAUGUUGAUUUAGGGCUUAUUGAGCCCUUUUUGUGACUAGAUCUAGUGCUCCCAUGGUCCCUUACCGAGUUAAGGUUCUGGAUCUGGACCCAUGGAGGUCCAGAGUGCCUCUUUGUCCAAGCUUUAUAUGAGUCUAUGGAGGUUUUGGCCUGGGAUCAUUGUAUUUGAGGUUAAAACACCAUUUAUGAGUCAAUAGGUGUGAUAUGAGCGCCAAGACAUAAACUUUACGUGAUAAAUAAGCUUGGAAAGACUGGAUCUAUGAGUUAGAGGAACAGAUCUGACCUCAGAAGGUCGUUUGGGGUUGUGCAUGGAAUGCACUCGUCGAGUCCAUGGGCAGACUCGACGAGUUGGAGCGGGUUGUUCCGUGUUUUUGAACCAGGGGUUGAAUAACCGAGUUGGGUGAGUGACUCGAUGAGUCGGAAGGGAUUCUGAGGAAUCGGGUCCUCGUAGGGACUUGGCGAGUCCAUGCCAGACUCGGCGAGUUGGUUUGACCGUUGACCAUUGACCAGAGUUGACCGGUGUUGACUUGGUAAAAUUAGUCAACCAUAGUUGGGAUAGUGUUAAUUAGAGAUAUAAUGUGUUAUAGGAGGACAAUAGCUCGGGAGAUCGAGCACUAGUGAUUUCCGGUAUUUACGAGUUACCGAGAUACGCGAGGUGAGUGUUCUCACUAUACUUUACCUUGAGUAGGUAAUUAGAGUUAUGUGAUACAGUGUUGUAUGCUAUAUAUGUGUUAUGUGUUGCACUGCAUUAUUCUAUGUGAUUUAUGUUGAGCAUGCUACAGAGUUAGAACCGAAAGGCUCACAGAGAUAGAGCCUGAGGGUUCACAGAGUUGGGUGCACGGACCCACAGAGUUAUAGCCUCGAGUGGCUAAUAUGUGUUAUAUAUGGUAUUUUGGAGAACUCACUAAGCUUCGUGCUUACAAUGUUUUGUGUUAUAUGUUUCAGGUACUAGUGAGGAUCGCGGGAAGGCGUCGGCCUGAUCAGUACACACACGGGAUUUUUAUGCUAUGAGAUCUUGGGAUUGUUAUAUGCUAUGAAUUUGAGUUUUAAACAAUGAUGUUUUUUAUGAGUAAUAAAUGAAUUAUGUUUUUAUAAAAUGCGAAAAAUUGUUUUGAAAUUUACGGUGUCACACAAAAUAGGGUUAGAUCGAUUAGGGUUUGCUUAUGGACGUGAAAAGGUGGUAAGGAGGCUCAAAGGAAGGACUUAAGGUCCUUUCAAUAGGGUGCAAUCCCUAAAAAUGUUGGAUUAGUGUCUAAGUCCAUAACUAUUUUGGUAUGUACUUGACCCGAUUAUGAGCAUGGUCCUUUUGGGUUGCCUUCACCAUAGCAAUAUGUAGGAUGAAUUAAGGAGAGAAAUGUUUAAUUAUGAUUUAUUAAUAUAUUAUGAGAAUAAUAUAUUAAAGGAGAAAUCAUAUUGUUUAAUUAAUAUUAGUCAAGAAUUCAUUAAGAAUUAAUUUUUGUGUCUAAAAGAGAUUAAUUAAACUUAAGUGACUUAUUGUGUAAUUAUAAGAUAAUUACAUAAACGGGCUAAUGGGCUCCAUAGAAGUUGGAGUGGAUGAAUUCUAUGGGGAAACCCAUUAGAAAUGGUCCAAGGCUUCUAAAGAGGGAGUUCAUGGGCUGCUUAGGGCUUAAGCAAUCAAAUUAGGGUUUCCUUGUUUGAUAACCCUAAUAGCCUAAGUAUAUAAGGAACCCUUGGGCACCAAAAAUGUGGCUAACACUAAGAUUAGGGCUUCCAGCCGUUUUUGGUGCCUCCUUUCUCCUCCCUCUUCAUCCAAGUUGCUUAGUGGUGUAUAUGACUCCAUUAGAGGUGCAACACUUGAGGCACUAAGCUUUUUGAAGCCAAGGAUUGAUUGUUAUUGCUAUAUAACAAUCAAAGGUAAGAUCUAAACCCUAAUUUCAGUUAUAGUUUAUUAGAUCUAGGGUUUAUGGCUUUGGAUUAUCAAUUGCAUGUUCAUUAGAGAAACUAGAUCCAAAGCUAUUAGCUAGGGUUUGCACGUACACCGUAGGAAUGAUGUAUUGCUCGAAACUCAUCAGUGGAAGCAAAGCCUAUGGCUGUUUGUUGAUGAAUUGAUGCUUAUUUGAUAGUUUAUUGGCUGACAAAAUGAUUUUUGCACCUUCUGCUUGACUGGCACGGCGAGUCCAGACUCUGACUUGACGAGUCCAAGGGUCUGGCAGCAUUUUUUGGCGAUUUUCUUGCUGUUUUGACUUGGGAUCCUUACCAUAAACGUUUUUAAUUAAUAAAAUCCAAUUUUUUUUUAUUGAUUUUGGGUGAAUAUCCUUACCAAAAUAGUAGAUAAUUACCAUUUAAUCAAAUACUUGUUAUCUUAUAAGAUAAUGUUUAAUUAUUUGAGUUAUUUGAUGAAUUAUGCUGCAAGAAAUUUGACUAGGUCAAAAUUAGAUAAUUGCCCUAUCUGAAUUGUUGAUCUAGAAUGUUCUUGAAAAAUUUCAAUUUUGCCCUUUUAGGUUUUAUAGUUUAAAUUUGAACUUAAAAGUUUUGUUUUUGAAAUUUAAAUAGUUAAACCCUAAUGUUUUGAAAAGUUUCAAAACUUGCCCUCAAGUUGUGGAAUUUAAAUUUUUGAUUAAAAGUUUAAUUUUGAAAUAUUUAAAUUCUAAACCCUAAUGUUUUGAAAUGUUUCAAAACUUGCCCUCAAGUUUUGGAAUUUAAAAUUUUGAUUAAUAGUUUAAUUAUGUAAUAUUUAAAUUCUAAAACUCUAGUAUUUUGAAAAGUUCAAAUUACACCCUCAUGGUUUUGUUAAGUUAAUUAAAAGAGAAAGUUAAUAAAACCACCUAGUAUUUUAAANUUAAAACUUGUCCUCAAGUUUUGAAAUUUAAGUUUUGUGAUUAAAAGUUUAAUUUGAAUAAUUUAAAUUUCAAACCUUAGAAUUUAAUUUGAAUAUAUAUAUAUAUAUAUAUAUAUAUAUAUGAGUAAAGAGUCAGUCUUACCGUUAGUAGGCCUCAUUCACGAAGCUGAUCUAUAAGGGUUGUUUAAGGAAAUUGCCUAUAAAAUGGCGAUUGAAUGGGUAUCUACUCUUACCCACUACACUCUUGACUAGUGGAGGGUCGUUAGCCGAACGGGUAGGAUAGGACAGAAACCUUCCAUUAUAAGUAUAAUGAAGUACAAAGUAACUAAAUGCUUUUCAAAUUCCAAAUCAUAGUUACUUUAGGCAAAAUGUGAAAUUGUAUGCUAAUCCAUGGAAUGACACUUUGUACCCUUGUCGAGACGUUAGUGGAGCAUGUGUGGUUAAUCGACACACUAAUUUGGGAUUGGCAUUGAUAGUGAAGGGUGAUUCGAUGUCUAUCAUAGAUCAAUGGAGUGUGUGUGGUUAACCGUCACAUUGAUUAGGUGAGCAUGACAUUGAGUGCACCAAGUCCAUUCACAUGGUUAUUUACACCUUAUUUGUGAUCCUCGGCAUCCCGAUCACAAAUGAAGGGCAUAAUCGAGAUUAAACAUGCCAUUGAAAAGUUCAAUGAAUCUCAAAAGAUCUAGGAGUUUCAAUUCAUUUAAAACUUAGUUCUUUUUCGUUUUUCAUGGUGGAAAUUGGUAAAUCGUCAUUUACCAACCUUCAAAUAUUCUGCAACUAGAUUACGACAUCCCUCUUCUAGGUUGUAGAGUAUUGUGUUGGAUCCUAGCCUUGAUGUUUCAUUCGGGUGUUACAUCAAGGAUUCUAAUCAACCUAACUUGAAUUUCUCCCAUUUUGUAGAUGUCUGAAUCUAACUAUGGUCUUCCCAAAUACCAUGGAACAAGUUUUCCAAAUGAAGAUGAUAUUCCACGAUAUGAUCGAGGAACCAUAAAUCGUGCUUCACUUCCUCCACCUCCUCCAAUUAUACUCCCUGACCCACAAGUUCGAAGGCUUGAAAAGUUCAAGCUAACUCAAGCCCUUUUGGCAUGUAAACAUGAAGAUGGGAAACUUGUGUGUGCACACGUCUUAGAGAUGAAGUCACACAUUGACAGGUUAAGGAUGUUGGGUGUCAAGAUUUCAGGUGAUUUGGCUGUUGACUGGGUUCUUCAGUCGCUUCCUGAAUCAUAUAGUGAGUUCGUUAGAGAUUACUAUAUGAUGGAUCAUGAGGUGACCCUCAUUGAUCUCACUUAUUUGCUUAUAGCUGCUGAAUCAGCAAUGAUUUGGUGUGCUGGUCAAGCAAAUUUUUCUGGUGAAUCAAACUCCCAAACUUCAAUGGACACUGGCAACAUUGAAAGUCCAGAAAGGACUAAGCAUGAGAUUGUCCCAUGUGUUGUGCCAAAGGAGUCUAUUUGCUUUUAUUGCCAAGAGAAAGGGCAUUGGAGACGAAGCUGCCCAAACUACCUGAGAGAUAUAAGAGAUGGGAGAGUCAAGGCAUAUGACUCUACUUGAGGUAAAAUCCAUUAUCUAACUCUUUUGAGUUCCUAUUCUAGAUUCUUAAUUCAUGAUGUGGUAAGAUUACAUUUUGAUGUAUUGUAGGAUCGAAGAAAAGAGAGGAAGCUUAAGGGAAGAAGUGAGCUGAAUCUAAUCGUGAAGAAAAUGGAUUUCGAUCGCAUUAUUUGAAGAUUGGAUUUUUGAGCUACUACUUGGAGUUAGAAUAGAUUGCUUAGGAAUAUGUAAUAGCAUAGUUUUUCAAUUGAAUUGCAUUGUAAGGACAAAUUUUUUCCGCAAUAAAAUAAAAUUUGUUUUUUUGUCUUAUUUAUUUAUCCUUGCAAUGGCAUGUAUAAAAAAUUGAUAUUUGAAGGUUUCUAUUAUUAGCAAUAAUGGAUUUGAUUGUUAAUUAUGUUAUUUGUGGAAAUGUCGAGAAUUUACCAAAUAGGGAGAGUUUCUCAUUGCCCAAGUCUCAAUUGGAUAGAAACUUGGAAUCAUGCAACUUGAUUGCGUGAUGAAUGAGAAACUUCAUAUUUGGAAAUUAGACUAAUUCUUUGACAAAGUGUCAAGUGAAGGACUAGGAGAUCGAGUACACUAGGUUGUGCGUUGAUCAAGUCCACCACAUGAGUGAUAAAGAUAUUCGUCAUGAUUUACGAAAGUUUAGUAAAUAUGGUUAUACUUAUAAGAUUAAAUAUAAUUCUAAGUUGAUUGAAAGAGUUUCAAUUAAUAGCAGAACGAAUAAAAAGAAUCAAGUAGGCAGAAAGAUAAAAGUUUCUCUAUUCUAAGAAGAAGGGAGAGUACCUUUUAUUGUGUUUUAUGAUAAUUCUUAAGAACCAUAUCUCAAUUGAUCCUCUAAGUGAGUCUUAGUACAUUUGUAUGUCUAAGAAGAGGAAUCGAGAAUUGUGGAAAUGGUUAAAAUUAAGAAGUCAAUCAUACUUCGUUCCAAUAUCGAGUCUUAGAGUUAUACUCCAAGAUUGCGAAUUGAGUGACACAUCUUUAGUAGGUUUACAACACUCAACAAAUGUGGAAUUGGAAAAAGUCUUCUUAUUCCUGCACAUUUGAAAUUGGUAAGUUGUAAUGUCUUGGAAAAGACAAAGAUCAACUAGGACCAAUUUUGUGAAGUGUUUUGUCUUGAUAAAAGCUACACUAACUUUUGAAUAUUUGUUUGUCAAGAAAUGUUUCUUGAUAAGAGAACCUUAUAUGUCAAGGAGUCAGUGGGAGUUUUAAUGGUCUUGAAAGGUUUCAAGAACAAAUCAAGAGUUAAACCUAGUUAAUCAUCACUAGCAUAUGACUUGAGGUUUAAAGCCUAUCGUGGAUAACAUACUCUUUUUCUGUGCCAUUCCAAUUGAGUUAAUUAUGCAUGUGAGUUCUAUGAGUUCUCAUUUUAACGCAUAAAGACAAAACACCUUGAUCAAUGAAAGUACAUUGAUAUGUAUGGGUGAGUUGCUUGGAAGACAUGGUGGGCAUUUGUGCUGCCAUGAGGCAAGAAAUCAAAAUUAAACAAGUUCAGUCCAUAUGAGCUUGGAUUUGUCGCAAACCUUCGUUUUGGCAAAUGUACAUGGAUAGGAACACAUACACCAUAAAAUUUAAGUGUCAUAAGGUUUCCCUCCUUCAUGAAAAUGGUUGUGAGGAAAUGCUUUCACUAAGAGAGAUUUUAGAAGAUAGCAAUUGUGAAAAAUUGUAUUCUCAGAUUCGAUUAUGAUUACGACGUCCCUCUUCAUAGUUCGAAUUGUGAGAUUUGGCAAUUGGUCUGAACAUCUGGGACUUAGUAACAUAAAUUCUGAAUUUUUUUAGACACACAUGAGAGCUUUCUAAGGCAAAGGUGUAUGAGUUUAAGACGCUUAGAUAAAGGCCUAUCAAAGCAUCAAGUAUUAGAAAUAUGAACUUAAGGAAUUCAAUAAGCAUUGUUUUAUAGAAGUUCAAUUGUUUUCUGAAUACAUGUCAAAGCUAGUGGGAGCAUAAAUGUUAUGCUUGAAAGGAAAUAAUCAUCAUGUUAGUGGGAGCAUGAUUAUUAUGAUAAAUAUUGCAAGUUAGCAAUAUUAAUUAAAAAAAAAAAAAAGAUUCACUUUGCAAAGUCGCAAGGGUUGAAAAGUUGUUUUGUUAUAAUUAAGGGAGAGAAUAUUAUACUUCGUUUCAAAAUCUAAAACUUAGAUUGAGAAAUUUUAAUAAAUUUAGUCAAAGGAUACAUAGUGUGUUCUCAAAACCCGAUUAUGAUUACGACAUCCCUCUUCAUAAUUCGAAUAGUGAGAACGUGACACAUAAAAUAAUAUGGCAGAAGAUUGAUAAAGUAUCAUAUCUUUAUGUAAGACAUUAUGCAUCGUGUCCCAUACGCUUCAGGUAUAGGAUCGAUUGCAAAUGUUAUAAUAUUUGACCAUUCUAAACUUUUCCAAAUGCCUAGCACAUUAAGAGGGAAAAGGACUAGAAUCGGCUUUAACUAAAAUAAUUAAACAACUAUCAAAGGACGAUCCAAAGUUCGCUGAGGAUUUGUCAGUUGGAAGUAUAGUAUUGGAUGGACCAUAUCGACAUUGUUAUGAAUAGAUAAGAAUCUAUUAAGAAUGAGUUGUCAUAUGGCAAAUAUGGAAAUGUUUCCAAAUUGGGAGUUGGAUAUUGAGAGUCUAUGUCUGGAUUAGAAACUUUUAUGCAAGAAGGAUGUUCAAAGGAAUGUACUUUCAAUGAGAGACUUCGCGUCUAUGGAGUUGUCUUGUAACAAUUCCCUAUAGAAUACCUUGGAAUUUCAUUAUACGAGUCUUGGUGACUUUUGUGCUAUGACAUUACGAAAGGAUCAUUGCAUAAAAUGUUAGAAUCUAACAUAUUCUAUUAGUGGCAAGAAUGUUGUGUUCUUACACUAAUAAUAAGGAUUGGGAAUUAUGAGAUGAGUUUCAUUGGAAAGGUUUUCAAUUGAUCUAUUUCACAAAGCAUAUACCAUAGGAAACAAAUUGUGCAUGCUUGGAGUAUGGGACAAUUGUUGUUGUAAUUCAAGUAAUGAUUUGAUUAUGCGAAACAUUAAAUGAUAAAUAAUGACUAAUCAAUAUGACGUUUAAAUAAAAGUGUUUUAUUUACACUCAAAAGUUUUGGGGCCAUAAAGGAUUAAGUAUUAUUAUUGUGUUUCAGUUUUGCAUGUUUUGACUUCCAGAAUAACUGGUUUAUUCGAACCUCCAAAGUCGAUCAUACUCUGGAAGUAGGUAUGAAGCAAGACUAUCAUGAAGAGUCUGUAAAUUGUCUGAAUAGUUUAGACAUAGCACAAGUUUGCUGCAGAGUUCAUGGGCGCUUUGAUAAGAUUAGAGUAUUGGAUUAAACUCACGCUCACGUGAAUCACUUCAUGGAUUUUAUCGCAAGUGAUUGUGAGUCGAUAAUAUUGUAUAUUCUUGAAACUGAUACAUGUGAGUUGUUAUUUGCUGGGCGGUUGCACAAUGAUGAUAAGUAAACGCACCAGUAACUUGGUGUUAUAAAACUUAUUGUUGUGUGUGAUUUGAUCAGUAGGUGCAAGCGAGCAUUUGAGUCACAGUUUAUCCAUUCCUUUUACCCAAAGUGGAAUAAAAGCGAUAUCUGUGGGCCCCUCAAUGACUUAGUGAUGACACCCUGAGCGCUUGGCCAAGCCGGGACUAAGUUGAUGUGUUCAAUUGUAGUCUGUUGUCAGUCGUCAUAAAUCAGAUGUCGGGAAACAAUACAUAGACAGAGAGAAUGAUUUAAAUCCAUGUCUCGUGUCUAUACGAUAUCUUGAGAAUGGAGGAAUAUAUGAUCCCUUAUCUAAAGGACAGACGUAUCUGAUAAGAUCAGAGUUGACAACGGCUUUUGAAAGCUACGAUUGCUGAUUAGGUUAUGAAGUCGUGCAAAAUAGUUAUUAGACUUAUCCAAGUGAGAGACUGUUGAAUUAGUGUCUAAGUCCAUAACUAUUUUGGUAUGUACUUGACCCGAUUAUGAGCAUGGUCCUUUUGGGUUGCCUUCACCAUAGCAAUAUGUAGGAUGAAUUAAGGAGAGAAAGGUUUAAUUAUGAUUUAUUAAUAUAUUAAAUGAGAAAUCAUAUUGUUUAAUUAAUAUUAGUCAAGAAUUAAUUAAGAAUUAAUUUUUGUGGCUAAAAGAGAUUAAUUAAACUUAAGUGACUUAUUGUGUAAUUAUAAGAUAAUUACAUAAACGGGCUAAUGGACUCAAUAGAAGUUGGAGUGGACGAAUUCUAUGGGGAAACCCAUUAGAAAUCGUCCAAGGCUUCUAAAGAAGGAGUCCAUGGGCUGCUUAGGGCUUAAGCAGUCAAAUUAGGGUUUCCUUGUUUGAUAACCCUAAUAGCCUAAGUAUAUAAGGAACCCUUAGGCACCAAAAACGUGGCUAACACUAAGAUUAGGGUCUCCAGCCAUUUUUGGUGCCUCCUCUCUCCUCCCUCUUCAUCCAAGUUGCUUAGUGGUGUUUGUGACUCCAUUAGAGGUGCAACACUUGAGGCACUAAGCUUUCUGAAGCCAAGGAUUGAUUGUUAUUGCUAUAUAACAAUCAAAGGUAAGAUCUAAACCCUAAUUUCAGUUAUAGUUUAUUAGAUCUAGGUUUUAUGGCUUUGCAUUAUCAACUGCAUGUUCAUUAGACAAACUAGAUCCAAACCUAUUAGGGUUUGCACGUAUACCAUAGGAAUGAUGUAUUGCUCGAAACUCAUCAAAAAAUUAGGGUUUUCAUGCACAGCUUCUACUCGUCGAUUUGGGGUCCUCCAACUCGUCAAAUAGUUUCCAUAAACCACAUGGCCAUAUCCGUCUCUACACGACGAGUUGGGGUAGCCAACUCGUCGAGUAGGUCUCUAAUAAUAAAUAUAAAACUUUAAAAAUUAUACAUGGGGGUCAGGGUGUUACAUAUAUGCAUGCUUUCUUCCUCUAUUCAUCUUAUCCCUGCUACAGUUAUUGUGUAUUUCUUUUUCUUUAUUCACUUCAUCGACCCUCUUCUCCUAGCCUCUUUUUUCCCCUAAUUCAUCUUAGUCGAUUUGAAAGACAACCCAUACGCAAUCUGCCUAAAUUAGAUUAUUCAUUAGACGUUAGACUUUGAUCAGUGUGAAUCAUCAUAUCUGUAUUGUAUAUUCACUUUAUAUGUAGUUUUGAUUACUGUGUGACAUUUUAGAUUUUCAUCAGUCUGAUUGUCUACUCUAUAUUGUGUAUAUACUUCAUAUGAUAUGUUUAAGUAGUAGAUUGAUAGGUUGGAUGUAUGAUUAUAUAACUUGGAAAUUGUAUGUAACUUGGAUGAUAGAUUGCUUUUAAUGUUGGUGUUGUUAAACCAAACUAAUUAGAAACUGAAAUUAAUAUUUUCAAAUGUUAGGUUUAUAUUACACCCUCUAAUGGAAUUUUGGUCAGAGCUAUAGUAGAUGCCGCCUACUAGUGCUUCAACAUGUAUUAUAAUGUGGUUUCAUUUAGUUUCUUGACAUCAUAUUUUAUUCAUGUACUAUACUAAUAAAGAAUUGAUAUAAUAACAUGUUUCCUUACACAUUCUUUUUAUAUGAUCAUGUAUGAUUCGUCUUAUAAAUGGUUUAUUUUCAUUUUUUGUUCACAGACAUAUUAGCAUAUAUGAAGUCCUAGAAUUAAAAGAUGCAUAUUAUGAGUAUCUACGUAAAUGAGUGUUCUCAUUCGAUAUUUUCUAUCACAAUUCACAUUAAGGAAAUUUUUUAGAAGGAGAAAAGUUUAUUAGAGGUGGAAAGUUGAAUAUUUUUGGUUUACGAUGUUUUUGUUUUAUUUACCAUAUUUUUAGACUUGUUAUUCGUACAAGGUUUUUUUUUGGCUAUUUUAAUUAGGGACCUUAUGUAUGGAUUUGUAUUCCAAUUAUUAAUAAUAUUGAUUUCUUUUUAUCGUCUUAUAUUAUUGGUUUACGGUUACUUUCAUGGAGAUGAUAACAUAUUGGAAGAAAAACAUGGGUGAAAGAAAAUUGGGGAAAAAAGGACCCGUGUGAAAAUAGCCAUCAGCUUAAUUAGCCAUCGAUCCCAGGCACUAAACAGAAGUAGAAAAAUCAUAACACGGACAUAGAAUUAAAUAAACCCAAAAUCAAAAAAUAAACAAACAUUCAAAAUUUAGGUUAACUGAACAACAAAUCGACAAAAUGUCACAUGCCCUUGAUUCUAUUAGACAAAGAUAUCACCUCAAUCGAUACAUAAUGAAAAAUGAUGGAACAAUGGAACCUCUAAGAUAAAGAAGAAACGUGAGAACAUAUAGAUGAGCAAUCAAACCUACCAUAUCUGAAAACAAAAAUUAUGAAAAUCAAACACAAUAAAGGUAAACAAACCUUAUUAAAACAGAUGUAUUUGGCACAGAUUGAGAAAAAUAGGAAAAAUGAAAACUGCAUUCAUUUUCAGUAAGAUGGAAAGGGUAAUCAGGUUGCUUUACCUCUUUUGAGUCGAGAUAGAGUUAUAGAGAUGUUAGUUGACGAUUGGGAAGUGGAUGGUCAAGAAAGAACGCAUGAACAUAUGAUGCUUCAGAAGUACUUCACAUUCUUAAACAUGGAAUGAAAACAACCUGAAAUGUUGACAAAAAUCAUAUAUUAGUAUAAGAAAGUCUAAUUCCAUGUGUGUAAUUAAACCUUGUGUGUUCCAUAAUAGAAAAAAAAAAUUAUCCAAGAUUUGAUUCUCCUAAAGAAAAUCAUCAAAAAAACACAUUUAAAGUCUUACAACAAAUUUCACAAAAAAAUUCAAUCCUAGUGAGAGUUAUCAUACCCUUAUCUUCCAGUGACGUUGAUUUCACUUGGUAUGACCUCAAUAUAAGUGCCUGUAAAACAAAAAUUGUUAGAAACAAAAAAAACAACGAAAUGAAGACUAAGUAUAUCGAUUGAGAACGGAAAAACAUACAUACCACUUAUGUCUUUCAAACCAAAUCCAAUGAAACGACUUCCACUCCUUUGACUUAGCUUCCCCGUGUCUUCAUAAACUUAGAAUAAAAUAGAAUAACUAAAAGCACAAACUUUUUCAUACAAUCAAAAGAAGAAAAAAAAACAUAAACGUGAAAUUCAGAUAGAUACCUUCGUCAUACAUGUAACCAAACAAACCCACGACAAAAAUCAGUAAAUUGGCUUUUGCUUUCUGGACCUGUAAUCACACACAUAGUUAGAUACGAUGGAUAGGGUUUUAGAGAGAAAAAGAGAAACAGUGGGUUUUUGCGAUAUGAAAAGUGGAAAAAUCAAACCACCCACAACCUUGAGUUGAUACUUACGUGAAAAUAAUCGAUCCGGUAGUAGUAAUGAUGACUUUACGUCGGUGGUGUACGGAUUUGGGUAGCUGCAAAAAGGGUAGAGGUUUAGGGUGCGAGAAGGAGGUGGAUUUAGAGAGAUAGAUGGAGAAUAUGAUUCGUUUCACGGACUCUUUUUGGUUUCUUCCGAUUUGAAUAAUUUUUCACGGUUUAAAUGAACAGAGAAUGCCGAGAUACUGGGGAAUAUUGAGAUACCACAACUAACUUUAUUACGUCUUAAUUUUGUAUUUGUUAGUUUUUUGUUGGUUUUUUUGGUUUGAUAUAAAAUCUUGCUGCUGUUCCAAAAAUAUAUAUUUUGUGCCUCUCAAUUUUAAUUUUUAAUGUUUGGAUCAUCAAUACAGCUUGACGUCAUCACGCGUGAUCCUUUACGAUCAUGAAAACUAAUUAAAUUUGAUGAACAAAUCCAAAACUUCAACAACGAACUCAUAAUAGAUUAAAAGAUCAAAGUUUAAAAUCGAUUACAUGACAAAUCGAAUGAUAUAAAACAAUAAAUAGAAACAAAAAUCACAAAAUCCCACAGCUUAAAAUUCAAACUUCAUUAAGGUCCAAAACCUAAUUACAUCAGUAACUUAUCAAUCAAACCCUAAACAUAAAGAAGGAGGUAGCGAUGAACAUGGAGUAGAAACUGGAAAUCAUUUUUUCUAAUAUGCUUCACGUAUAAAAUCCAAAACGGAUCGCGAUAGAAUCAAUCGAAUAUAAACAGGAGCAGGAGCAGAUAAACACAAACAACCACACGCAGAAUAUAUAUCAAUGGAUAGAGAAAUCAUUUGCGAAAGUGCGUGAUCUUGAACCAGCCUAAUUUGAAGGGAUAUGUAAUAGACUUUCCUCCCUUACUGAAGAACCUCUUGAUACCAUAACCUUUCUGCUUCACUAGCGAAUCAAGAUUACUCAUCGUUGUUGCUGUUGUUCUUGAAGGUUCGAAUGGGUAGACUCGAGAGAAAUUGUUAACGGAGCUUUGAUAUAACAAUGGAGAAAGGGGAUAUUUGAGAUAUUUUGAUAGAACAAUAGGAUUGAAGACUCUGGUAUUUAUAGGGAACAUGCUCCAAUCAUAUUAGACCACGCCACACAGGGUGAGAUAGGAUAAUCUUUAUUAUUAUUAUUAUUAUUAUUAUUAUUAUUAUUUGUUAUAAUCUGCUUG